rnacentral:lncRNA from 1 species
AAAUUUAUGUGGUGUCUAGCCUUAAGUUUCUUCCAUUAUUUAGUUAUAUUGUCACUGUAAUCGUGCAGUUCAAAGCAUAGAAUUAUUCAGUAAACUGAUGUACUGAAACGAAGUGGCUGUCAUCUUUUUCUUUCCUAAUUCAGAAUCUUCAACCUUAGGUACAGAUCAUGCCAUCGGUCCACAUAGCAAAGAUAAUGAUGCAGCCCCUGCCAACAAUAGAGCUCUCUCCUCAUAUUCCUAAAGUAAUAAAAAAACAAUCAAAUGGUUGCCAUCUUUUUCUUACUAAUUCAGAAUCUCCAAACUUAGGUACAGAUCCUGCCAUCGUCCACAUAGCAAAGAUCAACCAUUGUAGGACCUAAUUAAGCUCAGCUCCAUUGCGUACCUGUUUCAGCAUAGAAUAAGUGCAUGCAUGCGUGUCCGAUGGGACAGCUCCAUGCGCAUGCACGUAGAUAGGUAGCGAGACGUGAUGUUGCACGAUCUCCAGUUUCCGUUUUCUGUUUUGAUGUAAACUCCCGAUCGGUAUGGCACUAGUGACGCAGUCGUGGGAUGGGGCGACGGACGCGGAUCUAGAGCAGCUGAUCGGGAGGUAGUUAGCCUUGUAAUCGCUAAGGAAAAGAUAGAAGGAAUAACAGAAAACGCUGUCGAGUUCGACGGCACAAAAUAUACCAGUGUCUUCUUCCUUGCGUGUGUUUAUCUCUCUCUCGCUAGUUUUCUCCUCGAUCGAUUCGGCAACGACAUUUGGUACCAGAGCUUCGGGUGUUCGAUCCUGCGCCUUGGUGGUCGAGCGGUGUCUGAUCCGCUGCGGCUAUGUCGGACGACGAGAAGAAGAAGAAGGCGGCGGCGGGGCAGUCACCAUCGUCCAGAGCGCCCGUCGCGCGCCUCACGGCCGGCGGCAGCGGAGAGCUCCGCGUCGUCGAGCGGAUCAUGCGGGACACGGAGGCCUCGUCAGCGUCCAUGAUGCUGACGAGAACCAACUACAUGGAAUGGGCGCUCGUGAUGCAGGUGAAGCUGCAGGUCGCCCGCGUGUGGUCCGCGGUGACCGAGGACGCCGCCGACGAGUGCGACGAUCGGCGCACGCUGCAGAUUAUCCUCACCGGCGUUCCGCCGGAGAUGCUUCGCGUGCUGGCCGCAAAGGAUAUGGCGAAGAUCGCGUGGGAAACUAUCAAGACCAUGUGGAUGGGCAGCGAGCGCGCCCGCGAGGCCAAGGCACAGGUCCGGCGGCGGGAGUUCGAGGACCUCAGGAUCAAGGAUGGGGAGACCGUCGAAGAUUUCGGGCUGCGGCUCUCGGCCCUCAUCGCCGAUCUGGAGCUGUAUGGCGACCCUGUCACUGAGCACAAGGCGGUCUAGAAAUUCCUCCGCGUGGUGCCGCGGCGGUACCGCCCGAUGGCCAUGGCGAUCGAGUCUCUGAUUGAUCUCAAAACCAUGACCAUCGAGGAGCUCGUCAGCCGCCUCUCCACCUGCGAAGACCACUACGAGCUCGACGACGGCGCGCAUUCCUCUGGGCGUCUUCUGCUCACCCACAAGGAGUGGCUGCCCGCGAGAAGCAGGGCGGCGGUGGCGGAUCAUCGUCCGGCGGCGGCGCCGGCAAGAACAAGUAGCCGGCCAAGAACAAGUCUCCCUACAGAGGCAAACCUGAGGCCGGCAACGGCGGCGCUGGUGGAUCCAGUGGAUCGGGCGAAAAGAAGAAAGGGAAAUGUCACUUUUGUGGGAAACUUGGCCACUGGAAGAAAGAUUGUUGGUCGUAUCUUGAAAAACAAGGUCAGCAAGGGAAGAAGGAACAAGCCAAUCUGGUGCGCGAAGGAGGCGACGAGCAUGAGCAAGGCCUAUUCAUGGCCAUGGUCACCCCCGGCACAGCGGCUGAACCAGUGGCACCACAGGCAGUUUUUCUCAAUGAAGAAAAGGUAAUCCCCGUGCCAUCCCCUGACGGUCUAUGGUAUUUUGACACGGGGGAUUGGGUGAUUUGCCCCACUUUACAAGGGGUUGGAUGAUUUGCCAUGUGAUUGUCUCAAUGACAGUGGCCCCGGGCCCCACCCGGUAGCCUCUCAGGGGGGCAAAUGAUCUUACGGAGAAGUAAAGUGGGGCAAAAGAUCCAAUUUCUCAUUUUGACACGGGUGCCACAAGUCACAUGACAGGAGAGAGGAGUAUGUUUGCUAAGCUUGAUGAGGGCAUGCAUGGCAAGGUCAAAUUUGGAGAUGGGUCACAUGUAGCAAUCCGUGGCAGGGGAUCCAUUGUUUUCAAGUGCCAGAGCGGCGAGCAGCGUGCCUUGACAGAGGUAUACUACAUACCGAGCCUGCAAAGCAACAUAAUCUCUGUUGGUCAGUUGGACGAAGGUGGGUGUCAGAUUGGGAUUCAUAAUGGUUUGAUGAUAGUACAUGACCCAGCUCAACGCAUACUAGCUUGUGUCAGGCGAUCAAGCACUCGUUUGUACACCGGCAUGCUGACCAUUGACACGCCGGUGUGUCUGAUGAUGAAAGUGGAUGAUGAGACUUGGAAGUGGCAUGCUAGAAUGGGGCAUUUGCAUUUCCGAGCGCUACAUGCCAUGUCUGCAAAAGGGAUGGUCCGAGGUAUGCCUGAGAUAGCUCGCAUCGAGCAGUAUUGCGAUGGCUGUGCACUAGGGAAAAACAUCGAGCCCCUUUCCCGCAGGCGAGUUCAUAUCGAGCAGAGCAUGGUCUGGAGCUACUCCAUACAGAUUUGUGUGGUCCUAUUACGGCACCAACACCAAGAGGGAACAAAUACUUCAUCCUUGUUGUUGAUGACUACAGUCGAUACAUGUGGAUUGAGCUACUCAAGACUAAGGAUGAGGCACACACCUGUUUCAAGAGGAUUCAGACCAUGGAAGAAGCUGAAGGUAACUGUAAACUUCGAGCAUUCAGGUCUGAUAGCGGAGGGGAGUUCAACUCAACGGAAUUUCCAGAGUACUGCAGCGAAAGGGGUGUGAAACACUACACCACGGCACCUUACUCUCCCCAACAGAAUGGUGUGGUGGAGAGGCGAAAUCAGUCCAUGGUAGAGAUGGCAAGAUGCCUGAUGAAGAGCAUGGCAGUACCUGCAUAUUUCUGGGGAGAGGCUGUGAAAACUGCAGUGUAUCUACUCAACAGAGCUCCCACCCGCAGCCUCGAAGGCGUCACGCCGUAUGAAGUGUGGCACGGGCGAAAGCCGACCAUUCAACAUCUGCAGACUUUUGGUUGCACAGUACAUGUCAAGAUGUUGGGGCCGGGCAUUACAAAGCUCUCUAACCGCUCCAAGCCGAUGAUUUUCGUCGGAUAUGAAGAGGGGGCGAAGUGCUACCGUGUCUAUGAUCCUGAAACAAAGAGGGUACAAGUCACUCUUGAUGUGCUCUUCGAGGAAGGACGGGCAUGGAGCUGGGAAGCAGUGACCGCGGCCCCGGCGCAGGUCACGCCGGACGUUUUCACUGUGGUGUACACCACGGAACCAGGUGUGGAGGAGCUGGACACCGGAGGAGUUCAUGGUGGCUUGCCUAGUACGCCGCUGCCACCAACGACACCAAUUGGGACGGCAGUACAUGGAGAGACGCCAGCUUCACCCAUGGGGGCAACAGCCACGCCAAGUACAGAAGAGACUCUGAGAACGCCUGAAAUUAGGUGGGCCACUCCACUGUCACAAGACGAAAACCGGCGGGAUGUGGACACCAGACCAAUCAGGUACCGACGCAUGUCGUGCGUCAUGGAUGCCACAGAAGAAGAUGCUGAAUAUGAGUAUCAUGAGAGUUGUCUUCUCAAUGCCGAAGAACCGUGGGACGUUGAAGAGGCUCUGGGUGAUGCACCAUGGAAGGCUGCGAUGGUGGAAGAGAUGCGCUGCAUCCAUGAGAACAAGACUUGUGAACUGUCAGACCUGCCUGCCGGUCAGAAAUCCAUCGGGCUGAAAUGGGUUUAUAAAGUCAAGAGGGAUCCUGCUGGCAACAUCACCAAGUACAAGGCCCGUCUAGUGGCGACGGGAUACGUACAGAAGCAAGGGGUGGACUAUGAGGAAGCUUUUGCGCCCGUGGCCAGACUAGAGACUGUGCGCGUCCUGCUCGCGCUCGCCGCGCACCAUCGCUGGGAAGUUCACCAUAUAGAUGUCAAAUCGGCAUUCCUAAAUGGCGAUCUCGGUGAGGAGGUGUAUGUAGACCAGCCGCCCAAAUUUGCUGCGCCAGGGGAAGAGCACCGUGUAAUGAGGCUGCACAAGGCGCUCUACGGCCUCUGUCAAGCGCCGAGAGCCUGGUACGCAAAGCUUCACGAUUCUCUUGUAAACUUGGGUUUGAGAGAAGUCCAUUUGAACAUGCAGUCUACAGGCGUGGAGAUGAGUCCACUUUUCUGCUAGUUGGAGUGUAUGUGGAUGACCUUGUCAUUACCGGCACGGACAAAGGGCUAAACAGAGAGUUCAAGGAUCAGAUGAAGAUGCUCUUCAAGAUGAGUGACCUUGGAUUACUAAGCUACUACUUGGGGAUUCAGGUAUCCCAAACAGAGGGUGAAAGAGAGAGGCUUUUUAGCACCCGGGUGCCUAGGCACCCGGCUAUCACCACCAUUCUUCCAGAAAACGUGGCCUAGAGAUGUGUGACCGGUCCUGUACCACCAAUUUGAUUAGCAGGUUUGGGAUUCGUUAAGCGCGGUAGACUGGAAAUAUUUCAAACGAGUCUAGACCUAGUAUCGCACUGUUCCAUCGUACGGGAGAAUCCAGCUCGGCUACAACCGCCCAGUCAUCGGAAUUGACAUGUCGGCCUGCUAUUAAAAGCAAACAAGGGGUGGCUGACCGCUACAGUGUAACGCCCCAAGACCAAUGUGCCAGGUGUCCUCCAGUUAUUUGCUCCUGUUGCCUUGUCAUUGCUUGUGUGUCAUGCUUUGCAUAUCAUAUCAUCAUGUGCAUUGUCAUAUUCAUGCAUGUUGUAUUCUUGCAUGCUCCAUGUGUGGUUCUUGCACCAUCACUCCUCCUUCCUUUCCUUUCUUCCAUUUCUGCAAGUGCCAUUUUCCCUUCUCUUUUGAUGUUCAUCUUUUCCCCAAUAUUCUAACACCAUGUACCUAACCUCUCUGUCAAAUUUCAUCUCUAUUGGAAUUGUUUUGGUUAGGGUUUAAAAUGGUUCAAGUUUGAAUUUAAUUCAAACUUGAAUUAUUUUUACUUCCUUUAAAAAUCUCCAAACCAAUUUUGUUAAAUAGAGCACAUUUUCAGGAUCAUGAGAAUAUUUUUUAUAUUUCUCUAGCUCCUCUCCUUUUCCCCUGCUCUUUCCUUUUUGUAUUUCUGUCUAAAGAAAUGGAAAAGAAAAGAAAGAGGCAGAAGCAGUACCACCAGGCCAGCCCAGCCCGCCAACCACCUCCCACUUUGGUAAUUCCACCUCCACGUAGCAUAUUUUUUACCCUGGGCCCGCCUGUCAACCUCUCUCCCCUCACCUUUUUCUUCCUCCUCUCGAUUGCUCUCCUUCUCACAGUAAAAGAGGGAGGCAGCAGAGCACGCACAAGGCCACCGUGGCCACCACGGUGCCCACGCUUCCCCUAUAAAGCCAGCGCUUUGCCCCUAGGGUUUCCCUUCUUUCCCUCUCCUCCCUCCGCCGCCGCCGCAGGUGAGCCACCCAACAUAGCCGUCACCUCUUCCACCAGAGAGCCCCCGGAGCAGUUCCAUGGCUCCGCCGCGGCCAUAGCCCUCCUCCGCCAUUGUCUUCGCUCCUGGUCGGCUCGCCUACGUCGUCUUCUUCGUCUUCAAUCAAGGCCAGGAGCUGGAAGGACCCAAGGCCGACGCGAUCGACUCCCUCCAGGCCUCCACGACGUCAUCUUCCUCCGCUUCAUCUUCUUCAUGGUCCAGAGUAGCGCCAAGUUCAGCGAGCCCCGUCAUCCCUCCGUCCAUCUCUCACCGAGCCGAGCACCCGAGCGUGUUCGUGGUGAGCAUGCGCACCUUCCCAGUCAUUGUUUCCCCUCGAUUGCAUCCUGUUACGCGUGUUCCAUGGGAUUCCCGAGCUCGACACCGUCGGACCUCGUCACCGGCGAGGAGUUCGGCCUCUUUCCAUCUCGAGCCUGACGUAGUAGGUUCCGCUUGUCGCGUAGGGCUCAUCCAGCUUAGAUUCGCGCCACUUCGACCUGUGUUUCUUCGAGUUCAAGUAUGGCCUCACCGCCUCUGUUUCCUCAACGUCGGCGACGCCUCCAUCGUCACUUGGUGCUGUGCGAGACAUGCGGGAGUUCGGGUCCCCGUUGCGUUCAUUUGCGCACCUCAGCCGUAGCUUUUGGUCGCCGGAGUUUCCUCCGACGAGCUCCUUCGCCGUCCCGCUCGCAUGCGCCGGAGGCUCCCUUGUUUUCUCUGCUCCUCGCUUGCGCACACGCCCACGCGCAUCUUCUCUGAACCAGCCGGCAACCAUGGCCGUAGCCAUGUCUAGCUAGUCCGGCCUCACGCGAGCCCCUGCAUGCAUCGCAACCACACCAAGAUCUGCAUCCCGGCCGCCGCUCUCUAGCCUCAACCAUCACUGCUUUGCUCGCCAUCGUCGCCGGCGAUCUCCGUGCCACCAUGGAGGGCCAACGUCCGCUUUUCUUGGUGGUCUUAUGACGUUUAUCUGCAUCUAUGCCAAGCACACAGCAGGAGCGCAGUGGAUAAGGCCACAGGAUUCUUCCAGGGAGACCCGGGUUCGAACCCCAUCCCUACAUUUAGCCCCCCCCCCCAAUUUUUGCCUUUGUUGCCUCUAUGACAGGGGGACCCCACUCGUCAUCCUCUCUAUCCACACACCCCUUUCCAUAGCCACUUGGGUCGCUGCACUGUUUUGCUUCUGGGCCGCGUAUGUGUUUUUUUUUCUGCUUUGUGAUUUUAGCAUUUUCCAGUGCAUACAUAUUUACAGGAAAUGCCACUUCUUUAAGAUGCUAAUAACCAAAUAUCCAUGCAUCUAAAUAAAAUAUUUCAUAUAUGUAAAAUGCCUAGAAUUUUGUCUAGUUUCAUAAUAUGCAACUUUUAUCCAUGUUUAAAAUGUUUAAAAUGUUGUUUGUGUUUAUUUUGCAUAAUGCCAUGUUAAAAUGAUUUAUUUCAUAACUAAAUAACCGUAGCUCCAAACUUAACAAAAUUUAUAUGUAGAUGGGGUAGAAAAAUGCCUAGUUUAACAUGGUGGCCUUACUUUGUAUGUUUAACAACUCUAAAAUUAUGUUUAGGGAAGAAUGAUACAAAACCUAAUAUAUGCACAUCAGGAGUUUCCGGACUUGUUGUUUGUUGUUUCGGCCUCAUUUAAACUUGACUAGAUAGUUAGUUUUCAUAUGCUUCACCUCUUGCCAUGUUUAACAUCAUUUAAUAUUGUUGAGUACAUAAACAGGAGAGAACUAAAUAAGUCAUGUGUUGUUCCGUCAAUAUGCAACGUUUCAUAUUGAGCUCCACUUAAUUUGUAGGAUUGUUUGUGCACUUUGCCAUGCCAUGCAUAUUUAAACUGGACAUGCAUCAUACUUGAUUGUGCAUCAUGCCAUGUUCAUGUGUUGGUUGUUUACUAUGUUGUUUGCUUCUUUCCGGGUUGCUCCUCGCGUUAGCUUCGAUUUGGUUCCGGAGUGGUGAGUUUUGGUUCGACUACGUCCGCUUUGUCUUCUUCAUGGACUCGUUCUUCUUCCUUGCGGGACCUCAGGCAAGAUGACCAUACCCUCGAAAUCACUUCUAUCUUUGCUUGCUAGUUGCUCGCUAUUUUGCUAUGCCUAUGUUGCGAUACCUACCACUUGCUUAUCAUGCCUUCCAUAUUGUUGAACCAAGCCUCUAACCCACCUUGUCCUAGCAAACCGUUGUUUGGCUAUGUUACCGCUUUGCUUAGCCCCUCUUAUAGCGUUGUUAGUUGCAGGUGAAGAUUGAAGUUUGUUCCUUGUUGGAACAUGGAGAUCGUUCCUUGUUGGAACAUGUUUACUUGUUGGGAUAUCACAAUAUCUCUUAUUUAAUUAAUGCAUCUAUAUACUUGGUAAAGGGUGGAAGGCUCAGCCUUAUGCCUGGUGUUUUGUUCCACUCUUGCCGCCCUAGUUUCCGUCAUAUCGGUGUUAUGUUCCCGGAUUUUGCAUUUCUUACGCGGUUGAGUUAUAAUGGGAACCCCUUGACAGUUCGCAUUGAGUAAAACUCUUCCAACAAUGCCCAACAUUGGUUUUACCAUUCGCCACCUAGCCUUUUCUUUCCCUUGGGUUCUGCAGACUCAAGGGUCAUCAUUAUUUUAACCCUCCCGGGCCAGUGCUCCUCUGAGUGUUGGUCCAACCUGUCAGCUGCCGGUGGCCACCAGGGGCAACUCUGGGCUGGCCUACCCGUACCUAAGACAAUCUGAGUGUGCCCUGAGAAAGAGAUAUGUGUAGCUCCUAUCGGGAUUUGUCGGCACAUUCGGGCGGUGUUGCUGGUUUAGUUUUACCUUGUCGAAAUGUCUUGUAACCGGGAUUCCGAGUCUGAUCGGGUCUUCCCGCUAGAAGGAAUAUCUUUCGUUGACCGUGAGAGCUUGUCAUGGGCUAAGUUAGGACACCCCUGCAGGGAUUUGAACUUUCGAAAGCCGUGCCCGCGGUUAUGGGCAGAUGGGAAUUUGUUAACGUCCGGUUGUAGAAAACCUGAAGUUGACCUUAAUUAAAAUACAUUGACCGCGUGUGUUACCGUGAUGGUCUCUUCUCGGCAGGAUCCGGGAAGUGAACACGGUGUUGGAGUUAUGCUUGACGUAGGUUGUUUUAGGAUCACUUCUUGAUCAUACUUUUAUCGACCGUGCUUUGCCUUCUCUUCUCGCUCUCAUUUGCGUAUGUUAGCCACCAUAUAUGCUAGUCGCUUGCUGCAGCUCCACCUCAUACCUUUACCUUACCCAUAAGCUUAAAUAGUCUUGAUCGCGAGGGUGCGAGAUUGCUGAGUCCCCGUGGUUCACAGAUACUUCCAAACCAGCUUGCAGGUGCCGAUGAGUCCGUGCAGAUGACGCAACCAAGCUCAGGAGGAGCUCGAUGAAGAUCUUGUCCUUUGUGUUGUUUCGUUCUAGUUGAUCAGUAGUGGAGCCCAGUUGGGGUCGAUCGGGGACCUUGUCGCAUUUGGGGUUUUUCUUUUAUUUUGGUUCCGUAGUCGGACAUUGAUUGUAUCUGGUUGAUGUAAUGCUUUAUUCAUGUAAUUGUGUGAAGUGGCGAUUGUAAUCCAACUAUGUAUCUUUUUCCCUUAUGUAUUACAUGAGUUGUGUGAAGAUUACCUCACUUGCGGCAUUGCUUUCAAUGCGGUUAUGCCUCUAAGUCGUACUUCGACACGUGGGAGAUAUAGCCGCAUCGAGGGCAUUACAAGUUGGUAAUCAGAGCCUUCCCCGACCUUAGGAGCCCCCAUUGCUUGAUCGAAUUAGCGGACGUUGUUGAGUCUAGAAAUAUGUUUUGAGUCUUUUAGGAAUUAUAUAUCGGAGAGUUUAGGAAUUCUUUUUACUCCCCAGUCCCUUCAUCGCUCUGGUAAGGCAUCCUGACGUAGAGUUUUGACUCUUCUCUUCUCAAAUUUCACUAAAAUAUAUUUUUAGGAUCACGCGGGUAUCUUGGAAUCGUUCCGAUGGUUUUGUGACGAGAACAUUGUUCUUGGUGCCUCCUGACCUUUAGGGGUUGUGGCAGUGUCCCGGGGAGUUGAGCUCCGAGGUGUUGUCGUCACAAUUUUAUCAUUGCAGUUCUGGAAUACCUGAGUUUAGUUCGCCGACAUCGAAAAUCUCUUUUAUGCAGUUGUUGGUGAGAUAACCUCGACGCCAGCCAGUACUAGGGCGGGAGUUCGUGAGCAUUGCCAUAACUCGUAUAACGGAUGCUUUUCGAAGGUUGAGGUAGAUGAUUUUCGAAGGUUUCUUGGUUAUGUGUUGAAGGAUGGACACAGCUGGAUGUAGGAUUUGCUAGUUUUGGGUGAGAUAUUAUGCUUCCCAUGUAUUCCCAACACCUGAUUGCAUAACCGGAAAAUUUCGGGAGUUUAUAAGUGGGAAUUCAAGUAGCUCUUAGGAUAUCUUUUCCGACAGAUGUAUGAUACGAAAUUGGGGUUCGACGUCUAGUGGUCCGCCUAUUCACGGUCGGUUUUACAGUGGUCUCGUUCUGUCUUAAAGAGUCCUUGUCUAUGCCGACUCGGGUACGCUUCGUAUGUCAUGUGCACUGCCUUGUACAUGAUGGUGCUGUACGAUCGAGCCCGUGUAGGCCCCACCACGAAAAUUUCAGACGAAAUCUCUAUCAUAUGUUUGUUCCGGCUUAUUCUGCAAGCCAAUCCUUUGUUUUGUUUUUGAGUUGUGGCAUUCGAGUUGCUUCAAUGUCAAAUGUCGAUUCGAUACCUUCCCGAAGCGGUGUUCCCAUACUCCGAUGUGAAUACAAAUCCUUCUUGAUCAUCGAGAUUGUGCUGUCAAUCCUUUUUCAACCGGCGUGUUUCUCUUUAAGUGGAUCCGAUCAUUUCAACAUCCGCAAGAUUCAAUCUCAGUUUUUUUUUCGUCAACGGUGUUUGCUUCAUCUGUUCCAAGUUGUCUUUGUUUUUCCCACCCACCCACCCUUUUUUCUUCAAAGACUCAGAUUUCUUAAUCAAGUAUCCUUUUAUUCAUAUGAAGUCUCUCCAUUAUUUUUCUCCGUCAAUGUUCUUAUCUGGUGUUUCUCAUGAAGAUUCUAACGGAGCUUCAAGUUCCUCAUUCCUCAUUCCUUUUCUUCUCCGGUGGUUUUAAGUCAAGUUUUGUUGAUCAUACCUUUUUCCUCGUUUCAAUGCUUUCUCAUGCCGGUGCACCUCAUUAUCAUUCCACUUCUCGCUAUUUAUUAUUCCGGAGUGCUGAAGAUAUCUCGAAGAUUCAUAUUUCCACUCUACAUUCGUUCAACCUCUUUCGAGGAUGUUCCCUCAUUCAAGUCAUUUAAUUUAACCGGUGCUUUCCCUCUUUUGAAUUAUUCUACGAUGUUUCUUUUGAGUGGGCCCUAACCCACAGGUCUUUUUCCAGGAUCUUACCAGACUCUUCUAUUUUCCCGGAGCCACCAUCAAAUUCUUUUCGAAGUUUGACAUAAGAAUGAAUUGUCAUCAGUCAAAUGUCUUUCUCCAAGAUCUUUCAUGUCUUUUCAUCGGUGGAUCAACCUUUCCAUUCUUCAUUCCGGAGUAUCCCAGCAAUUCAUGGUGGUAUUUCUCGUCGUAAUUCUCAGAUUUUGAAGACCGAAGAAGAAUUUUCUCCAUAUCUUGCUCCACUCUCUUCAAGAUUCGUGAUUCUAGCUUGUUGCCAUCCUCUCAUAAUUAUUUUUCGAUUGUGAGAAUUCUUUUCACCCAUCCGGAGCAUUUCAUGAGUUGUUUUCCAUUUCUUGUCCCCGAAGCCCAUCAUUUAAGAAGACUUAUUCAUACUCAGCUUUCAGCUAUCAUUCUCCAAUUUUACCGGUGCUUCGUUCAAGUGAUCUUUAAUCGGCUCGUGAUCUCUUCGUUCUCAUGUAUCUAAACCCUCUCAAGCAUCUUUGUUCAUUUUAUAAUUCUUCCCGGUGUUUCUCUAUAUUUUCUUCGUUCAUUUCCAAUUAAUUCGAUGGUUCAUUUAAGAUCUUUUCCUUGGUUAUCACAUCAAUUCAUUCGUUCUUCCAAACCCUUCCGGUGGUUCGUUCAAUACCUUUCCAAGUUGGCGCGAUAUCUAUCUUAAUCUUUCUACGAGGAUAAGUAGUAUGUCAAAUCCAUUGCUUGUCAUCAAUUUGAAUUGGUGAAGGAUAAGCAUAAUGCAAUUCUUAUUAUUGUUUCAGCCAAGUGAUUUAAUUCCUUAUUCCGGAGGUUCAUCAAAAUUCUUGAUUUCAGUUGUUUCAUCUUUUCUUUUCCGGAUUUCCAAGUUUUUCUGCAUUAUAUCGUCGCGAAGCUCCAUCUAAAUCAUUGCAAGGCUUCAACCUUAUUCUUUUCAUCCUUCAUUUCCUUUGAUCAUUCUUUUCUUACCGGAGUUCUUCAUGAAGGUUCUACAUGAUGGUUCAUCAAGGAUUUUAUCCCUUCUAGAAGUUUUCAUCGAGAUUCUUUUCUAAGGAGAUCAAGUAUUCUUCAUCUUGCAAUCUACAGUGCAAUUCUUUCUUCCGUAUCAAUAGAGGUGGUAUUAUGUCAUUCUUGAUAAUUUGAGUUCAUGUUCCAUGAUGCACAUGUUGUUAAGAAUGAGAUAUUUUAAAUCCAUCAAUCUUGCCAUUGGAGUUAUCUUGGGUUAUAUUUCACCUAAAACUUUCCCUAAGGAUUGUGGCUAUUUAUGGUGCUUAUGAAUGAUCCAAUUUCUUCAUUUUUCCUUUCCGGUGCGAUAUACUUCCUUGUCAAUUUGCUCAUAUCAAUCCAAUUCUUUUCCCGUGAGUGUCAGGUUGUCACCUCAUAAUUUGAGAUGUAUUCCAUAAGACCAUAUCAAGCUUAUUUUUUUCAUUGUUGAUAAUACAACAACUCCAUUCCAGCAUUUGUUGUAAGCAUGCUCUCUCAAGAUCUUGUUCCUCUCCGUCCAUCCCAUUCCGUUCUUUCAUUUCUUCCGGAGGCUUUGUGAUGUUACUCUUUUCAAUCAUCAUCUCGAAUUGUGAAGAUCAUGAUCUUUUCAUGCUUAUCCUUUUAACCGGAGUAGUUUCAAUAUAUAUCUUGCCCUUCAACCUCAGGGUUUUCGCAAUGUUCUUUGUCCCUCUUUUCUAACAGAGUGUUUUCGACUUUGUUCACCUUCCUUGUAUUUUUUUUCUCGAAUUUGUUCAACCUGGCAAGGUUCUUUGGUUUCACUCGUUUGUCAAAGGAGCAACUUAGUCUUACCUCUUCUCUUUCUCUUCCGUUGUCCCUCCGGUGCCAUUCUAGAUCUCGGGACGAGAUCCUCUCAUAGUGGUGGAGUGUUGUAACGCCCCGAGACCGAUGUGCCAGGUGUCCUCCAGUUAUUUGCUGCUGUUGCCUUGUCAUUGCUUGUGUGUCAUGCUUUGCAUAUCAUAUCAUCAUGUGCAUUGUCAUAUUCAUGCAUGUUGUAUUGUUGCAUGCUCCAUGUGUGGUUAUUGCACCAUCACUCCUCCUUCCUUUCCUUUCUUCCAUUUCUGCAAGUGCCAUUUUCCCUUCUCUUUUGAUGUUCAUCUUUUCCCCAAUAUUCUAACACCAUGUACCUAGCCUCUCUGUCAAAUUUCAUCUCUAUUGGAAUUGUUUUGGUUAGGGUUUAAAAUGGUUCAAGUUUGAAUUUAAUUCAAACUUGAAUUAUUUUUACUUCCUUUAAAAAUAUCCAAACCAAUUUUGUUAAAUAGAGCACAUUUUCAGGAUCAUGAGAAUAUUUUUUAUAUUUCUCUAGCUCCUCUCCUUUUCCCCUGCUCUUUCCUUUUUGUAUUUCUGUCUAAAGAAAUGGAAAAGAAAAGAAAGAGGCAGAAGCAGUACCACCAGGCCAGCCCAGCCCGCAACCACCUCCCACUCUGGUAAUUCCACCUCCACGUAGCAUAUUUUUUACCCUGGGCCCACCUGUCAACCUCUCUCCCCUCACCUUUUUCUUCCUCCUCUCGAUUGCUCUCCUUCUCACAGUAAAAGAGGGAGGCAGCAGAGCACGCACAAGGCCACCGUGGCCACCACGGUGCCCACGCUUCCCCUAUAAAGCCAGCGCUUUGCCCCUAGGGUUUCCCUUCUUUCCCUCUCCUCCCUCCGCCGCCGCCGCAGGUGAGCCACCCAACAUAGCCGUCACCUCUUCCACCAGAGAGCUCCCGGAGCAGUUCCAUGGCUCCGCCGCGGCCAUAGCCCUCCUCCGCCAUUGUCUUCGCUCCUGGUCGGCUCGCCUACGUCGUCUUCUUCGUCUUCAAUCAAGGCCAGGAGCUGGAAGGACCCAAGGCCGACGCGAUCGACUCCCUCCAGGCCUCCACGAUGUCAUCUUCCUCCGCUUCAUCUUCUUCAUGGUCCAGAGUAGCGCCAAGUUCAGCGAGCCCCGUCAUCCCUCCGUCCAUCUCUCACCGAGCCGAGCACCUGAGCGUGUUCAUGGUGAGCAUGCGCACCUUCCCGGUCAUUGUUUCCCCUCGAUUGCAUCCUGUUACGCGUGUUCCAUGUGAUUCCCGAGCUCGACUCCGUCGGACCUCGUCACCGGCGAGGAGUUCGGCCUCUUUUCGUCUCGAGCCUGACGUAGUAGGUUCCGCUUGUCGCGUAGGGCUCAUCCAGCUUAGGUUCAUGCCACUUCGACCUGUGUUUCUUCGAGUUCAAGUAUGGCCUCACCGCGUCUGUUUCCUCAACGCCGGUGACGCCUCCAUUGUCACUUGGUGCUGUGCGAGACAUGCGGGAGUUCGGGUCCCCGUUGUGGUUCAUUUGCGCACCUCAGCCGUAGCUUUUGGUCGCCGGAGUUUCCUCAGACGAGCUCCUUCGCCGUCCCGCACGCAUGCGCCGGAGGCUCCCUUGUUUUCUCUGCUCCUCGCUUGCGCACACGCCCACGCGCAUCUUCUCUGAACCAGCCGGCAACCAUGGCCGUAGCCAUGUCCAGCUAGUCCGGCCUCACGCGAGCCCCUGCAUGCAUCGCAACCACACCAAGAUCCGCACCCCCGCCGCCGCUCUCUAGCCUCAACCGUCGCUGCUUUUCUCGCCAUCGUCACCGGCGAUCUCCGUGCCACCAUGGAGGGCCAAGGUCCACUUUUCUUGGUGGUCUUAUGACGUUUAUCUGCAUCUAUGCCAAGCACACAGCAGUAGCGCAGUGGAUCAGGCCACAGAAUUCUUCCAGGGAUACCUGGGUUCGAACCCCAUCAGGGACAUUUAGCCCCCCCAAUUUUUGCCUCAUUUAAGAUCUGUGAUUUUAGCAUUUUCCAGUGCAUACAUAUUUACAGGAAAUGCCACUUCUUUAAGAUGCUAAUAACCAAAUAUCCAUGGAUCUAAAUAAAACAUUUCAUAUAUGUAAAAUGCCUAGAAUUUUGUCUAGUUUUAUAACAUGCAACUUUUAUUCAUGUUUAAAAUGUUUAAAAUGUUGUUUGUGUUUAUUUUGCAUAAUGUCGUGUUAAAAUGAUUUAUUUCAUAACUAAAUAACCGUAGCUCCAGACUUAACAAAAUUUAUAUGUAAAUGGGGUAGAAAAAUGCCUAGUUUAACAUGGUGGCCUUACUUUGUAUGUUUAACAACUCUAAAAUUAUGUUUAGGGAAGAACGAUACAAAACCUAAUAUAUGCACAUGAGGAGUUUCCGGACUUGUUGUUUGUUGUUUCGGCCUCAUUUAAACUUGACUAGAUAGUUAGUUUUCAUAUUCUUCACCUCUUGCCAUGUUUAACAUCAUUUAAUAUUAUUGAGUACAUAAACGGGAGAGAACUAAAUAAGUCAUGUGUUGUUCCGUCAAUAUGCAACUCGUUGCAUAUUGAGCUCCACUUAAUUUGUAGGAUUGUUUGUGCACUUUGCCAUGCCAUGCAUAUUUAAACCGGACAUGCAUCAUACUUGAUUGUGCAUCAUGCCAUGUUCAUGUGUUGGUUGUUUACUAUGUUGUUUGCUUCUUUCCGGGUUGCUCCUUGCGUUAGCUUCGGUUUCGUUCCGGAGUCACUAGUAGAAAAAGGGCCUAUUGUCCCGGUUGGUAAGGGCCUUUAGUCCCGGUUGGUGAACCGGGACUAAAGGGUCGGUACUAAUGCCUCCCCCCUUUAGUCCCGGUUCAAUCCAGAACCGGGACAGAAGGGCCUCCACGUGGCCUGUCCCCUGAGCCCAGGCAGGAGGGCCUUUGGUCCCGGUCGGUGGCACCAACCGGGACCAAUAGGCAUCCACGCGUCAGCGUUUAUGUNNNNNNNNNNNNNNNNNNNNNNNNNNNNNNNNNNNNNNNNNNNNNNNNNNNNNNNNNNNNNNNNNNNNNNNNNNNNNNNNNNNNNNNNNNNNNNNNNNNNNNNNNNNNNNNNNNNNNNNNNNNNNNNNNNNNNNNNNNNNNNNNNNNNNNNNNNNNNNNNNNNNNNNNNNNNNNNNNNNNNNNNNNNNNNNNNNNNNNNNNNNNNNNNNNNNNNNNNNNNNNNNNNNNNNNNNNNNNNNNNNNNNNNNNNNNNNNNNNNNNNNNNNNNNNNNNNNNNNNNNNNNNNNNNNNNNNNNNNNNNNNNNNNNNNNNNNNNNNNNNNNNNNNNNNNNNNNNGGGGGUUUUGGGGGGUUAAUUUAGGUGUUUCAUAUAUUGUGCUAUAGCUAGCUAAUUAAUAGAGAGAAGUGUCCUCUCUUUUGUCCGUGCUUGGUCGACGCUACGUACCAUACAUACACACGUAUAGAGAGGACUAGCUAGACACGCUAGCUAGCUAGUAAGCAAACAGAAGAUCGUCAUGAACAUAUAUGCAUACAGAGAGAAGUGAUAUCGACCACCUCUCCUUCUCCGAGAGAUUGGUCGAACAAACAAGUUCUCGUAUAUCUAUCCGACACUACCGGCUACAUAUAUACAAUAAUUAUCUUUUACAAAUAUAUAAUCUCCUAAAAUACGGACGCGUGGUCCACAUAGUAUUCUCCGUCUUCAGCGAUCACGUGGUCAAGAAAGAAUACCGCCAAUUCCUCUUGAAUUGCUNNNNNNNNNNNNNNNNNNNNNNNNNNNNNNNNNNNNNNNNNNNNNNNNNNNNNNNNNNNNNNNNNNNNNNNNNNNNNNNNNNNNNNNNNNNNNNNNNNNNNNNNNNNNNNNNNNNNNNNNNNNNNNNNNNNNNNNNNNNNNNNNNNNNNNNNNNNNNNNNNNNNNNNNNNNNNNNNNNNNNNNNNNNNNNNNNNNNNNNNNNNNNNNNNNNNNNNNNNNNNNNNNNNNNNNNNNNNNNNNNNNNNNNNNNNNNNNNNNNNNNNNNNNNNNNNNNNNNNNNNNNNNNNNNNNNNNNNNNNNNNNNNNNNNNNNNNNNNNNNNNNNNNNNNNNNNNNNNNNNNNNNNNNNNNNNNNNNNNNNNNNNNNNNNNNNNNNNNNNNNNNNNNNNNNNNNNNNNNNUAUAUGAAUGAAUGAAACUCAACACAAAUGAUGGUAAUAAAAUAAAAUUGUGAAUAUUGUUAUUUACGCACUUCAUAUUGUUUGUCGGAGUAGCCCCGCUCACAGGUCGUGUGGCGGAUGGACUCGCAAAUGUAGUAUCCACACAAAUCAUUCCCUUGUUCCUGCCACAACCACUUUAGAAGAAAUAGAGGUCAAUCAAACUGAUAAUUAGCAAGCAUGCUAAAUGGUAUUGAUGAAACUAGCGCUUGAAUCACUAGGAGAUGCCCGGAAUAUGCUACUAUAUGGUACUUACUUUCGGGUGCCUAAAUUGCAGCUUCUUCGGUAGUCCCGGAGCUUUUUUGGUGAAUUUUCUCCAAGCCCUGCCAUACAAAGAAAACAAUUACUUGAUAUCAGAAAUGAACAAAUUAAGUUGCUGAUAUGGUGGAUAAUGAUCGAUUUAACUUACUUCUCAAGCAUUUCAGUCAUGGCCGCAUACUCCUUGGGAUCUUUUUGCUUGGAGUCUAAGACAAUUACUACUCCCUUCUCAAGCUUAAUCUCUAGGAGAAUAUAGUGGUAGCUGCGCACACAUGCAUAACUCAUCAAUAUUACAUUACUAUAACCUGGACUGAUAAGGAAACCGAAUAUGCCACAAGACAGUAACACUCACUUGAAGUUGUAAGAAAAGAGUAUUAUAUCUUUGUGUUCAUUUAUUUCCAACGAUCGUAGCAAGUUGGCCUCGGUUUCUUGGGCACGAUAUUGAACCUCAGUUGCAUCUAUGAGAUACGUGUUAAUGAACCCAAUAUCUCCCACUUGUCUUUUCUUCAAUUCGGCGAUCUUCAAUCUGCAUAAUAUAGUGAGGAUAAUUAUAAAUACAUGCAAAUGAAAGGGCUGAGUUAUAUAGAGAGACUUAAUGACGAAAGUAGUACUACUUACAGACAAUAGGAGGUGACCGUUGCUUUAUCGAUGGCCAAUUGAUUGAAAAACUUAUAGAACUCCUCAAAUGGAAUAGGCAACAGUUCAAUUCCAAGGAGGUCAUGCUCCUUUUUAACUCUCAUAUACAAAGUAUUCCUCCCCUCAGACUCUUUGCAGGUUUUCAUGUACCAAUCAUGCAAUCUUCGCAUCAUCGUUGAUAGAGAACUUUCAUCUUUGACGAGAGGCUUCCCGUACUCGUAUCUUUGUAUCUGCACCUCCAAGAUAUCAUAAUGUACAUCGUCGGGCAGGUAAUUUGCAGGAUUGCCAUAAACGGGCACCAUCCUCGGAUCGACGAUGUCGCUAGCAGGCACCUUGAGCGGGGGGCACGAUUGCUUCGCUUGUUCGCCGAGCUGGGCAAUUUGUUUCCCAGCUCGUCGUUCUUUCAUCCUUUGAUCACUUUUAGUACUUCCCGACCUCUCCGCUUCGGCAAAUGCCUUUCCAAUAAUGCGCUCAUAGUUGCCUUUCGGCGAAGACUUGGGUGGUUUUCUCAGGGCAGCCAGAGUGCGCUUCCCUUUCACCGGAUCUACCUUCUCCUCCGGAGGUGGAUGUCUCUUUGCUUUCAACCCUUGAAACCAGUCAUCCACUUUGGUCUGCGCGAUCUUCGCGUUUUCCUCCUCGCUCCUCUCGUACGGUAAAUUCUCUGGAGUCUUCAGAGAAGGACCGAAUCUGUAUCUCCUCCCGCCUUUGGCUGUACUGCUAGACGCCGGCAUAGUAGACGGAGCGGAUGUCUUCUUUCCUUGCUUACAAGGUGGAGGAGAAGAACUGUGACGCGCCAUAGAAGCCGGAGCGGCGGCAGGUCUCUUCCGCCCUUGCUGACGAGGCGGAGAAGGAGGAGGCUGGCUGCUCGGGCGCGCCGGCGCAGGCGGAGAAGGAGGCGGAGUGCCGCCACGCGCCGGAGAAGGAGCGGGCCGAGUGCCCUGAUCGUCACUCGCCGGUGGAGGAGGCGGAGUGCCCUGACUCGCCGGAGGAGGAGGAGGAGGCGGAGGCGUCCAGUUCGGAAGGUUGAUGAGAUCCUUCCGCCAUAGGCAUGGAGUCUUCAGAGCAGAACCCAGCCGAUACUCCCCUUCACCGGUAGGGUGGUCAAGCCGGAGGUCCUCAAAUCCCUCCAUUAUUUCAUCGACCAUCACCUUAGCAUAUCCUUCUGGAAUCGGCCGGUAGUGAAAAGUUGAGUCGGGUUUAGUAGGAUAAACAGAGCCAACAGCCGCCUUGACCUUCAAAUUGCUCCAUUGCGCCAUAAGGUGGCAAUUUUCAGCAUUCGUGAUAGCAUCCACGGGAUAGCUGGCAGGAGCCGUCAAGGCAUGCUCUGGCUGAAGCAGCUCGUUGGAAGCCACACUGCUUUUCCGCUGAGAUGGCAGGGUAGCUUCGAGGGAAGCUUCGGCAGGUCGUUUGCUGCGAUCUGCUUCUCCUUGCUCUAGCCCCAUUACCCUUUCGUGCAGCGACUGCAGUUGGCUCUGCUCCAGUUUCUUCCUCCUCUCGUGGGUUUUGUAACCCCCUGCGUCCGGAAAUCCAGCCUUCCACGAAACGGAGCCUGGCGUGCCUCGUGUCCGUCCAGGGUGCUCAGGAUUGCCGAGGGCCAUUGUGAGCUCGUCCUUCUCCCUGUCUGGAACGAACGUCCCUUGCUGCGCUGCUUCGAUAUAUUGCUGAAGCUUCUUGGCUGGUAUGUCCAAUUGUUCCUCCGUCCAAAUGCACUUCCCUGUUAUAGGGUCCAAGGAUCCGCCGACCCAAAAGAACCAAGUCCGGCAACGUUCUGGCCAGUUCAUUGUCUCUGGUUCGAUCCCUUUAUCAAGCAGAUCAUUCUCAGCCUUGGCCCACUUAGGCUGGGCUACGAGGUAGCCACCUGACCCCGUGCGAUGGUGAAGCUUCUUCUUCUCAGCAUUUCUCUUGUUUGUCACCGACAUUUUUUUUACUCUUUUCCGAUGUCUUGUGGGCCACAAAUGCGGGCCAGUCAUCUCUGAUCUUCUCAUAUUUGCCAAUGAAUUCUGGUAUCUCAUUUUUUUCGACAUACCUAUGGAGGUCUUUCUUCCAAUUCCUGAAUAGGUCUGCCAUCUUCCUCAGAGCAAAAGACUUGAUUAAUGGCUCUAUAACUGGCUUCUCCGGAUCAUCCUCCGAAGGUAGGGUGAAAUUUGACUUCAGCUCAGUCCAAAGAUUCUCUUUCUGCAUCUCAUGGAAAUAAGACACCUCAGGGUCCUCGUUCUUAGGCUUAUACCAUUGCUGGAUGUUGAUCGGGAUCUUGUCCCUAACCAGAACCCCACACUGAGCAACAAAUGCCUUCUUUGUCCGGUAGGGUUCAAUCGGUUGGCCGUCGCGCGCGAUUUGUAUGAUCUCAAACUUUUCAUCCGAGCUCAACUUUUUCUUCGGGCCUCGUCUCUUUACCGAAGUUGUGCUCGAUCCGGAGGGCUAGAAAAAAGAACAAAGACGAGAGUUAAUUAAUAUGUGUACAUACCAAAACAAUGAAUGCAUCAAUUAGCUAGUCAGCACAGGCUUAACUAAUAUAUAUACCUGGCCGGAGUCGGUUUGGUGAUCACCGGAGCCGUCCUCACGGUCUACUUCUUCACCCUCUCCUUCUUGCACCGGCAUUGGGUCAUCGGAGCCAUGUAAAUCAAUGAGGAGAGGGCCAGCUGCUUCUUCACCCUCUCCUUCCAGACCAUCGUUGUCGUUGAGAAACAUCGAGAGGGCAUCACUUCCUUCUGCGAUUAUGUCCCUCAACAACGCUUCUUGUGCUUCGUCUCGGGGCGUGUCCAUAGUUUCUACAAAUAUUUACAACAUGGCAAUUAUUAUUCAAACAUGACAGAUAUGGAUAUAUUAGUGGCAAACGUAGAACUAGCUAGCUAAUCACAAUAAGGAUUCAUCUAGGGUUUGGGGUGGCCUCGACACCGCUUCAAGGGUUAGGGGGUGGCCUCGAGAACGCUUCAAGCUAGGAGGGGGUAAUAUCGACCCCCCCCCCACGUGUUGAAGCUAUCGGGAGGGGGUCGGCGUUGAACAGUACAUCUAUGUCCCACAAGUGACGUGGGCAUCGACGUGCGCAUCGACGCCCACAAGCUAUUGGAUUUCUUCAAUACUUUGACACUAUAGGAACCCUCGACCCUGAAACCUUCGACCCUUGACCCCUUAACGACCCUCGACCCUCUACCCUAGUUCCCGACCCUCGACCCUGAAAACAUAUAUACACACAGAGAACAUAUAUACAUUUUUAUAAAAAUGCAAAAAACAAAAAAAAUUAAAAAAAAGACAUAUAAACAGAUAUACAUACAUACAUUUUUCUUUCAUAUGAACAUACAUACAUACAUUUUUCUAAAUAUACAUCAACAUAUAUGUUUUUCUAAAUAUACAUCAACAAAAUUUAAAAAAAUCUAAAAAUUAUAUGAAGAGGAUCGAGGGGACAGGGAGGAAAGGGGGUCACCGGAGCCGGACCGAACGGGGAGGAGGGGCGGCAGUGGGGGCGGGCGCCGGCGACGACCUCGACAAUNNNNNNNNNNNNNNNNNNNNNNNNNNNNNNNNNNNNNNNNNNNNNNNNNNNNNNNNNNNNNNNNNNNNNNNNNNNNNNNNNNNNNNNNNNNNNNNNNNNNNNNNNNNNNNNNNNNNNNNNNNNNNNNNNNNNNNNNNNNNNNNNNNNNNNNNNNNNNNNNNNNNNNNNNNNNNNNNNNNNNNNNNNNNNNNNNNNNNNNNNNNNNNNNNNNNNNNNNNNNNNNNNNNNNNNNNNNNNNNNNNNNNNNNNNNNNNNNNNNNNNNNNNNNNNNNNNNNNNNNNNNNNNNNNNNNNNNNNNNNNNNNNNNNNNNNNNNNNNNNNNNNNNNNNNNNNNNNNNNNNNNNNNNNNNNNNNNNNNNNNNNNNNNNNNNNNNNNNNNNNNNNNNNNNNNNNNNNNNNNNNNNNNNNNNNNNNNNNNNNNNNNNNNNNNNNNNNNNNNNNNNNNNNNNNNNNNNNNNNNNNNNNNNNNNNNNNNNNNNNNNNNNNNNNNNNNNNNNNNNNNNNNNNNNNNNNNNNNNNNNNNNNNNNNNNNNNNNNNNNNNNNNNNNNNNNNNNNNNNNNNNNNNNNNNNNNNNNNNNNNNNNNNNNNNNNNNNNNNNNNNNNNNNNNNNNNNNNNNNNNNNNNNNNNNNNNNNNNNNNNNNNNNNNNNNNNNNNNNNNNNNNNNNNNNNNNNNNNNNNNNNNNNNNNNNNNNNNNNNNNNNNNNNNNNNNNNNNNNNNNNNNNNNNNNNNNNNNNNNNNNNNNNNNNNNNNNNNNNNNNNNNNNNNNNNNNNNNNNNNNNNNNNNNNNNNNNNNNNNNNNNNNNNNNNNNNNNNNNNNNNNNNNNNNNNNNNNNNNNNNNNNNNNNNNNNNNNNNNNNNNNNNNNNNNNNNNNNNNNNNNNNNNNNNNNNNNNNNNNNNNNNNNNNNNNNNNNNNNNNNNNNNNNNNNNNNNNNNNNNNNNNNNNNNNNNNNNNNNNNNNNNNNNNNNNNNNNNNNNNNNNNNNNNNNNNNNNNNNNNNNNNNNNNNNNNNNNNNNNNNNNNNNNNNNNNNNNNNNNNNNNNNNNNNNNNNNNNNNNNNNNNNNNNNNNNNNNNNNNNNNNNNNNNNNNNNNNNNNNNNNNNNNNNNNNNNUUUUGUUUUUUGCUUUAUUUUUUAAUUCUUUUUGCUUUUAGUUUUAGAAAAAUUAUAAACUUUCUGUUAGUGCCAUUAGUUUUCAAAUUUGGAAACUCUUUUUUGUUUUCUUUGUUGCUUUAUUCAUUUUAUUUUGUUUCUACUUACAAUAAAAUACUUAUUGUUGCUAUUUUUAGUUUUUUCCAGUUUUUUGGUUUUGUUUUCUGCAUUAAUUAUUUUCUUUUGGUUUUUUGCUUUAUUUUUUAAUUCUUUGAAAUUUGUGUGAAUUGUUAAAUUGAAUUCUUUGAAAUUUGUGUGAAUUUGAAGUUUGUGAUUAACUUUACUAGUGCCAUUAUUUUUUCAGUUCAACUUAGAAAUAAAUACUUACAGUUUUUUGGUGAUUUCUUUUUUCUUUUAGGUCACAAAAAAUAAAAACUUCUUUGUUAGUGAACAUAGAUGCACUUAUAGAGAAAAUUAAACAUAAAUUCAUAAUCAAUUUUUAUUUAUAAAUUUAGGUCCAAUUUCCUCUAUAGGUGCAUCUAUUUUCACUUUGAGAGGAGAUCAACAACAGAGAGAGGGACGGGCUUAUAAACAGGUGUGGGCGCCCUUCUGUUGGCGAGGUGGGACUAAAAGUUGGGUGCAACGAGGGCCAACCCUUUAGUCCCGGUUGGUGGCAUGAACCGGGACUAAAGGUAACCCUUUUGGUCCCGGUUCAUGCCACCAACCGGGACCAAUAGUGGUGGGCCAGGAGCCAGGACCAUUGGUCCCGGUUCGUCCCACCAACCGGGACCAAAAGGUCCGGACGAACCGGGACCUAUGGCCCACGUGGCCCGGCCGGCCCCCUGGGCUCACGAACCGGGGCAAAUAGCUCCAUUGGUCCCGGUUCUGGAUUGAACCGGGACUAAUGGGCUAAACUGGCCUGGACGAAAGCCCUGUUUUCUACUAGUGAGUGGUGAGUUUUGGUUCGACUAUGUCCGCUUUGUCUUCUUCAUGGACUCGUUCUUCUUCCUUGCGUGAUCUCAGCCAAGAUGACCAUACCCUCGAAAUCACUUCUAUCUUUGCUUGCUAGUUGCUCGCUCUUUUGCUAUGCCUAUGUUGCGAUACCUACCACUUGCUUAUCAUGCCUUCCAUAUUGUUGAACCAAGCCUCUAACCCACCUUGUCCUAGCAAACCGUUGUUUGGCUAUGUUACCGCUUUGCUUAGCCCCUCUUAUAGCGUUGUUAGUUGCAGGUGAAGAUUGAAGUUUGUUCCUUGUUGGAACAUGGAGAUCGUUCCUUGUUGGAACAUGUUUACUUGUUGGGAUAUCACAAUAUCUCUUAUUUAAUUAAUGCAUCUAUAUACUUGGUAAAGGGUGGAAGGCUCAGCCUUAUGCCUGGUGUUUUGUUCCACUCUUGCCGCCCUAGUUUCCAUCAUAUCGACGUUAUGUUCCCGGAUUUUGCGUUCCUUACGCGGUUGAGUUAUAAUGGGAACCCCUUGACAGUUCGCAUUGAGUAAAACUCUUCCAACAAUGCCCAACAUUGAUUUUACCAUUCGCCACCUAGCCUUUUCUUUCCCUUGGGUUCUGCAGACUCAAGGGUCAUCAUUAUUUUAACCCUCCCGGGCCAGUGCUCCUCUGAGUGUUGGUCCAACCUGUCAGCUGCCGGUGGCCACCAGGGGCAACUCUGGGCUGGCCUACCCGUACCUAAGACAAUCUGAGUGUGCCCUGAGAAAGAGAUAUGUGUAGCUCCUAUCGGGAUUUGUCGGCACAUUCGGGCGGUGUUGCUGGUUUAGUUUUACCUUGUCGAAAUGUCUUGUAACCGGGAUUCCGAGUCUGAUCGGGUCUUCCCGCUAGAAGGAAUAUCUUUCGUUGACCGUGAGAGCUUGUCAUGGGCUAAGUUAGGACACCCCUGCAGGGAUUUGAACUUUCGAAAGCCGUGCCCGCGGUUAUGGGCAGAUGGGAAUUUGUUAACGUCCGGUUGUAGAAAACCUGAAGUUGACCUUAAUUAAAAUACAUUGACCGCGUGUGUUACCGUGAUGGUCUCUUCUCGGCAGGAUCCGGGAAGUGAACACGGUGUUGGAGUUAUGCUUGACGUAGGUUGUUUUAGGAUCACUUCUUGAUCAUACUUUUAUCGACCGUGCUUUGCCUUCUCUUCUCGCUCUCAUUUGCGUAUGUUAGCCACCAUAUAUGCUAGUCGCUUGCUGCAGCUCCACCUCAUACCUUUACCUUACCCAUAAACUUAAAUAGUCUUGAUCGCGAGGGUGCGAGAUUGCUGAGUCCCCGUGGUUCACAGAUACUUCCAAACCAGCUUGCAGGUGCCGAUGAGUCCGUGCAGAUGACGCAACCAAGCUCAGGAGGAGCUCGAUGAAGAUCUUGUCCUUUGUGUUGUUUCGUUCUAGUUGAUCAGUAGUGGAGCCCAGUUGGGGUCGAUCAGGGACCUUGUCGCUUUUGGGGUUUUUCUUUUAUUUUGGUUCCAUAGUCGGACAUUGAUUGUAUCUGGUUGAUGUAAUGCUUUAUUCAUGUAAUUGUGUGAAGUGGCGAUUGUAAGCCAACUAUGUAUCUUUUUCCCUUAUGUAUUACAUGGGUUGUGUGAAGAUUACCUCACUUGCGACAUUGCUUUCAAUGCGGUUAUGCCUCUAAGUCGUGCUUCAACACGUGGGAGAUAUAGCCGCAUCGAGGGCGUUACAUACAGUGCAUGUUUGUCUGAAGCAACAGGAGCAAAGUAAAAAAGGUUACUUACUUUUUACUACUCAGUGGGAUCUUGUGUGAGUGAUGCAUGUACUUCAUUUCACAAAAAUGCCUUUUAGGAAAGAGAUGCAGGAGAGGCCACAUAGUGCUUUACAUAAAUAAUCCGAGGCCUUCAAAAAAUUACUGCAUGAUGGGGAGUCGGGCCUUUGCUGCUCGCUGUUUGCCUUGUCUCGUCGAAUUGACCGGCUUAACUUCCUGCUAGCCUACACAUAUGCCUGUACCUGUUGUCCGUGAACUCCUUUCAGACCUACUCUGCCUGCUACUCCCUAGGCAUUUCUCUGAAACGAAAAAGAAGCCGCCCAGCUUGUCUGAGUAAAUGACCUGCUUAAUCAAACUGACACCGCCAAAAGCCUGCUGCUGGCUAGCCCAGAGCACGAAUCUUAUAUUGGGCGAACGGGCCAGAUACGAGGGAGUCGGGACUCCCGGGUGCUGUCGCACCUUUUCGGAGGGUGAAAUCAUACUUCAUCAGCGGAGUUAUGCGGAGAAAAUCCUAGAGGUAGCCGGCAUGGGAGAGUGCAACAGUAGCAGCACUCCAAUGGAGUGUCGUUUGAAGCUCAGGAAGGAGGAUGAAGGCGAGCUGUUUGAUCCCAAGCUGUACCGCAGUGUGAUAGGCAGUCUUCGCUAUCUUGUCAACACAAGACCUGACAUCGCACAUGCCGUGGGAAUUGUAAGCAGAUUCAUGGAGACCCCGAGCACUCAUCAUUGGGCAGCCGUGAAACAGAUUCUCAGGUAUAUUCGAGGGACGCUGGGCUACGGCUGUCGUUAUCAGGCCAGGCACGACGAGGUGAAGCUUGUUGGCUAUACAGAUAGUGAUCAUGCCGGUGACAUUGAGGACUGGAAGAGCACCCCCGGCAAUGUAUUUUCUCUUGGCAACUAUCUUGUCACUUGGAGCUCGCAGAAGCAGAAGAUAGUGACUCUCUCUUCUUGUGAGGCUGAAUACAUCGCUGGGGCAGUGGCGGCGUGCCAAGGUGUGUGGCUCUCUCGUCUGAUCAGUGAGAUGCUCGGGAGGCCGCAGGCCAAGUUCAAGCUGUUCGUGGACAAUCAAGCUGCCAUUGCUCUUAGUAAAAAUCCAGUCCAUCAUGACCGUAGCAAGCAUAUUGAUAUCAAGUAUCAUUACAUACGUGACUGUGUGGAGAAGGGUCAGGUGGAAGUGGAUCAUAUUCGUACCAGGGAGCAGAUUGCAGAUGCACUGACGAAGGCGCUGGGCCAUGUUGUCUUUGUCGAGAUGCGUCAGAAGCUUGGAAUGUCCGAGGUUGGUACUAAGGAGCAGAUCUUAAGGGGGUGAAAUGUAGGACCUAAUUAAGCUCAGCUCCCUUGCAUACCUGUUUCAGCAUAGAAUAAGUGCGUGCAUGCGUGUCCGAUGGGACAGCUCCAUGCGCAUGCACGUAGCUAGGUAGCGAGACGUGAUGUUGCACGAUCUCCAGUUUCCGUUUUCUGUUUUGAUGUAAACUCCCGAUCGGUAUGGCACUAGUGACGCAGUCGUGGGAUGGCGCGACGGACACGGAUCUAGAGCAGCUGAUCGGGAGGUAGUUAGCCUUGUAAUCGCUAAGGAAAAGAUAGAACGAAUACCAGAAAACGCUGUCGAGUUCGACGGCACAAAAUAUACCAGUGUCUUCUUCCUCGCGUGUGUUCAUCUCUCUCUCGCUAGUUUUCUCCUCUCGAUCGAUUCGGCAACGACAACCAUAUCACUUGUGGAAAUGAUGCAGUCACUGCCAACAAUACAGUUCUGUCCUCAUAUCCCUAAUAAUAUGAAAAACAAACAAAUCAAAAUUUAUGUAUAAAAGCACACUCAAAUAAGCAAAUCUGAGGCAAUAUGCACCAUGGCUUGAUCGGAGUGCAAGCCAACAAGAGGAGAAGAGAAAGGCUAGAACCUGCAAGCUCAAGAAGCAGAGCAUGUUGUUGAGGCAAGGAAUGAGAGAAAUCUGAAUCGCCGGGUCGUGUCGCCUCGGAAGGUGAUGACCACAGGCAUACCCUCUUCCACCCCCGCGCCUUCGCCCUCUUCCACUGCCUCCCCCCGUGUCGCCGCCCUCUUCCUCGGGCAGCUCUCGUGGCUUCCAGGUCCAGCUGUUCGAUCCUAAAGCAACAGAGUAAAUAUCGACUAUACUUAAUUACCAUUAUAGAGAUUCUCUCCUACAAAUUCAUAUGAAACAUAGUGUGUAUAGAAGCAACACGUACAGGUCAACUCCAUAUAUUUGAAUGAACACAUGCAAAGUAUUCCACGGCCUUCUAUAUGAAAUUUAGACCAUUUUUGCUGCCAAGGUUAUAGAGCAUUACUUGUCCUGUUUCUGGCACAAAACAAUUUAUGACUUCAAAAAAAAGAAAUAAACUGAAUUCUUGCAGCUGAACACCGCGAAAUAAAAUGCAGUAAUGCCUUGUCUCAUUCACUGAGUACUAUAGUUGAACAAAUUACAUGUGAACCUCACAGAAAUAACAAUGCACUGUAAAGGACAUGAGAAACUUGAGGCCUAGAUUGGGUUCAGCUCACCUUCUAGCACAUGACGAACUCAUCUGGACAACAAUACACCUAACUUGAAUUACUUUUUAUUCUUCCCACACUUUGGGUGCCUGUAAUCAAAGCACACGCCCAAGAAAAUUCUAUAUGAAAACAUUGCAAAAAGGCUAUGGUACAGGUUAGCAAGUAAUCCUAUGCAUAACUGAGGGAAUUACAGAAAAACAGAUUCAGAAAAAGGGAAGUGAAUGUGCAAACCUCAUUCAGGUUGCUCUCCUCGCCGAGUUGCUUCAAAGUAGGAGGAACAGCUCGGCAAGAUUAUGGAGGAAGAGGUUUCCAAUCCUCACGCUCCUGUAGCCCACGUCCUCAUCGAUGAUACGAAGAGGAGAGACGAGCUGCUCUUUCCGCCGACGUCAUCUCUCUCUACUCAGUGCCACCGCCGCCUUCGCCGCCAUCUCUCUUUUACCAGCGCUGCCAUCCCCAUCUCUCUCUGCCCAACAUCGCGGGCUGGAAAACUGAAAGAAACGAUUCACAAAAGGGAAAAUUUUGUUUUUGCCACUCUUGAUUUUGCCAAUUUUCAUUAUGCCACUCUAGGUUUUGACAUUUCACUUUUGCCACUCUUAGUUCUUGACAAUUAUCUGAAUUGCCAUUCCGGUGGCAAAAGCAAAAAAUUUGGAGUGGCAAUUGUCAUACAUUUCAAAAGCUAAGAGUGGCAAAAAUGAAAUAAAAUUAUUCUGCUUUUGCCACGAAAUGGCAAUUGUGAUAAUUGUCAAAAACUAAGAGUGGCAAAAAUGAAAUGUCAAAAUCUAGAGUGGCAUAAGGAAAAUCGGCAAAAUCUAGAGUAGCAAAAACAAAAUUUUCCCUUCACAAAAUGUACAAACUUUAUUCUACACACUGCUGCAAGCUAUGAAAAACAGAAUAUCCUCAGGUGCAGGUUGUUCAAAACAACUUCAAUUGGUUGCACCUUAGUCAUAUCAAAGCUUAUUUGAAAGAAUAACAUCAAAGAGUCCUCUCACCAAGUGCCCAGGCAAUGGGAAGCACAUGGAAAAACCAUUGAUGCUCCUUUCCGUAGAAGAAAUAAGUGAAUGGACAAUCUUCUCAUCUCUAUAUAUUCUCUCGUACAAUCCAGCUUGCAAAACAGGUGCAAGGAACAGACUGUUGCGUAAUAAUAUUAGCAAACUUUAACCAUGAACAGUUUUCCUUCCCAUAACCAUAAGCAAUGGAUCUUCAUAACCCACAUGAUAAAAUCCAACAAAUCAUUGAUUCCCUUCCCCGUACCUAGUGAAAAAUAAAUAAAGACAUAAACCUGUAGCAUCAAGUGAAGCAGCAUUUGUGACUGUUACAACAGAACAGAUAUGUACAUGAUCAAAUAACAAAAAGACAUUUUGAUACUUCUCAACCGAUACCCCUAUAUUCUCAUAAAGUAGGUGAUACAUACAAGAUAUGUCUAAUACGUUCAAUGGUAGGGAAUUGGAUAAUUAAAAAGAAUAACUCCAGUCAUCUUUACUUGUAGUGACAACCAUAUUUUAACAAUUUGUCCCAGGAAACAGUUUGAGCUUUUAAACUGGCAGUCAACUUACUAUCAACGGGAAACACCACGCUGCACUAUAUUUUUGUAAAUAGUUUACAGAAGAUCUGACAACUCUGAAAUCCUGAGCAGUAUCUAUGCAUGUUUUAGCAUGGUACUAAGCACAAAUUGUUACCAGCUGUAAAUAUAGCAUACUAAUACAUAUAGUUGAACAAUCACUAUAUCAUAGGACCCUCUCAUCUUUCCUCUCCCUUUCUCCAUCGUGGGCGGGGGCGGCGGCGGCGGCGCAUGAGGAAUGAGGGUAGGGUCACGGGGUGGGCUAGGUCUCUCUGUCUCGCUGCCCGCUCGCCUUCACCUACCCUCUUGAACUAGCCGCCAUCAUCGAGCAGCGACGGGAGCACACCCACAUCCGCCGGCCCACCAACCCCUGCUGCGCCUCCACCACGAGCCCGCUCACAUCUGCCGGUCCACCAAUCCCUGCUGCGGAGGGUUGGAGGCGCGGAUCUUGGGGAGCUCGGGGGCGUGCGGUGGCCAGAGCUUGCCGGAACCGGCCGGCGUGGGUGAGGGUUUUCUCCUUCCUAGCAGUUCUUGAGGGUUUAUAUGUUAACAUGAUUGCGUCUAAACACAAUAGCUAUUCGCUACAGGAAAAGGAAUCCCAUAUUCAUGCAAUCCCUUGUUCAAAAGGAUAUAAAGAGCCAAUGAACUUCCAUUGUGGUUAACAACUUCUAUUUAUUUAUGGUCCAACAUUGUAACCAACAACCUAAAGCACUGAGCCACUGCACCUUUCAUUUGCAUUUUCACAUAGAAUUAUUUAUCUAUCCAACAUCUAAACUCAAAGAACAUAUGCUUGACUGACACAACUGAGCAAUAACAACAGACUGUAACAGAAUGGAGAGGCAAGUAGACAACCACACGGACCUUCAAAUGCUUGAUCAGGGGCUCUAAAAACCCUAGGAACUCAAUCCCAUCGAGCACCUUGAAGACGUAUUCAGCAUUGAUCUUAUGUAUCUUUCCGUCCUUGCAAACAUGUCGUAGGUCUUCCCUGCAAAUAAGAUCACACUCAUGUUACUAUCAUCAUCCGAUAAACAUCACAUCAUGGGGAGAAGCCUAAUAUUAUGAUCUUGGACGUCUUCCCCUCGACCAAAGAAUAGAGCAAUUAGCUAAAGACCUCAACGAUGCAGAUCCUAAACCAGCAGGCUAACUAAUGCGAAUAAAUUAAGUACCGCUAUUUUCUCCCCCUAAGAAACCCCAAAUAUUUCACACAAGCAUCAAAUUCGCCAACCAGAUUACCAAAAAAACUGCAUCAAAUCAAUAAGGAUUACUCCCAAAAACAUAGCAAAAACAGGGAUGAGGAAGAACAAGGAGAUGCAAGGCAGGAGGCACGUCCGUGGCGGAGAAGUAGUGGAUGAAGAUGAGGACGCUCUUGGUGAAGGUGGCCAUGGGGUCCUUGUCCACGACACCUCCGCCUUCUCGCUUUGCCGGCGCCGGAUAUGACGACCCGGACGAGCUUGCCCUUGACCAAUCCCCGAUGACCUAGGGGAUCUGAUCUGCCUCCACUUAUGCCAAUGCCGGCGGCGGCGAAGGCUUGGCCUUGGACCCCCUCCCCUGCGUCUCAUUGGUCUCCCCCACCAUAGAUCCUUGGCUGCUUCUUUUCUGGUCUCCCCCGUGCCACCUCCUCUUCCUAUUUUCUUCCAGCGGCGGCGCAGUCCCCCCAUGGCCUCUUGGUGGUGAGGGCUCACGAUUUGGGAGGAGAAGAGGAGCCCGUGGCUUCUUGGUGGUGAGGGCUCACGGAUUGGGGAGGAGAAGAGGAGGCCGCGGAUUGGGGAGGAGGAGAGGAGUCGGGGAUUGGGAGAAGAGGAGGCAUGGGAUUGGGGAUGAUAGGAGGUUGUCGAUAGGCUAGGGUUUUCACUGUGUUUGCUUGGACGUGAAAUUACUAAAAUGCCCUCGGCGGGACACAAAAUUUGCAGGCGGUGGCACAAGUACUGUUCGCGAUUUAAAGGCGACGUGGUUGGCUUCGUUGUGCCUAGGAGUUGUUCAGGGUUUAUAUGUUCAAUUACUAAAAUGCCCUCGGCGGGACACAAAAUUUGCAGGCGGUGGCACAAGUAUUGUUCGCGAUUUAAAGGCGACGUGGCUGGCUUCGUUGUGCCUAGGAGUUGUUCAGGGUUUAUAUGUUCAAUUAACAAGUGCGAGUGAUGAAAGUGUGUAGGACGUGGAGAGAGUGGAUGCAACCAACUCAAGACUUUGUGUUCGCUAGUGAAAAUAGUGUGAUGGCUAAAUCGAAUUAUAUAGUAAACUAAAGCAAAAUACACUAGUGAAGAUAGAUUGAUGGCUAAACUGAAGCCACAUACAUUAUUGUGAAAGCAUAAUUUAUUUCAUUUUUAAAAAGUUUUCAUCGCACAUUUAGAAAAUGUUCAUACUGUGUAAAAAAGUUUGCUCAAGUUUUAGAAAAAGUAGUAGCAUUGAACAAGAAUCAUGUGAUAUUUCUAAGUUACUUACUCGUUUCAAGAAAAUGUACAUUGCAUUUUGAAAAUUGUCAUAAAAUGUAGAAAGAAUUCGUACAAAUAAAAAAUGUUUCAUGCACUUCAAAAUCGAAAUAGAAGUCUUGACCAUUCAGAUAUGUCCCGUGGAGAAUUAGAGGCUAUAGAGUUUACCUAAAUUCUAAUUAGUGCGUGUGCACUAUUUCACGUAAGGAAGCAGCCGACUCUGUCACUUUUAUGUAUGUGUACUUUUUUGUCUUCUAGCACAUAUGACUGUUGACAUUAAAUUUGUUCACACUGGUCCAUAAAAAACAGAUCCACGUACAUUUAUUUUGACUUUUUAAGUUUUUAAAAAGUUGUAUCUUUCAAACAUUGAGUUCGAAUUCAGAUCUGUUUUCACCGCUAGAAUCUUCACGACGAGAUCUUUGAAACUAGAUCCCGCACAAGUAUGUUUUGCCGGAAGUUUUUUUAUGUCAAUUUUGGUCCUAUAUGGUGCAACUCUAUUACUGCAUGGUGGAACUUCAGUACAGCAUGGUCAGUUCUUUUAAAGACCAACUUCAGAGCUGCAUGACCCAACUUAUUAUGAGGUUGCAACUUAGAAACCAUAACAACCAACUUUUUGUGAUGUGCAACUAGUCUACUGUUCUGGCCAACUACCUAGUAGUGCAUGUGCAACCCGUCCUCCCUACUCGUAGAUGUGUAAUUUUUCCUUGUGGCACCUACCCUACUAGUAGCAAUAUGUGCAACUCAGUCUGUUGUUCUAGCCAACUACCUAGUAGUCGAUGUGCAACUCAUUCCCUUCCUACUUGUGGAUAUGUGCUUUUAAUUGGUGGGGGCAACACACAGAGUUGCACAUAGUUUGUUAGCCAGCUGGUCAAGGCAAUAGACAAAGUUGGCACAUCUCAGUGGCAGGGAUAGUUGGAUGGUCAAACAACACAUCCAUAAGGGAUACUGAAAUGUUGCAUAUAGACAAGGCUCUAAAGUUGCACAUCUCACUAGCAUGGGUGGUUUGGACGGGAUGCUAGCAUCUACACAUCCAUGGGGGAUACGGGGAAGGUUGCACAUCUCUGUUAGGAAGUUGGCCGGUGCAACAUCCGAAGUUGCACGUCCACUGUUAAGCACUUGGCCAAGACAUUAAAUAGUGAAAACGGAGAUCUAUGAGGGGGGGAGGGAGUUGCACAUCGACUACUAGAAAGUUGGUCGAGUCAAUAGACGAAGUUGCACAUCUCAUUGGUAGGGGUACUUUGGGGUGGAGGUGUCAUCAAUGAAAACUACAAGUCCACUCGUAGGGAGAAAUUUGCACAUCGACUAUCAGGUAGUUGCACAUCAACUAUCAGGCAGUUGCACCUAGUGGGGCCUAAACAUACUCAUGCAGGGUCUUGUUUUGAAAAUCACGUCGCGAUGAUUCCAACAGUGAAAUCGGAUCUUAAUUUCGAUGCAUAGUUUGAAAGUUAUGCCAUUUUGAAUUUUUAAAACAAAGAAUUAAAUGCAAAACAGACCAAAAUGCAUGCACCAAAAGAUGACCGUGAAAGUAUCCUGGAGGAUGUGAAAAAAACCCAGAUGAGAAAAGUUUCCUAAUGGAGAAAGGAGACAAUUUUUUUCCUAAAAUAACCGGCAGCUUCGGAGCGCUUCGGGUAGCCGUUUGCCCGCUAAACGUGUUCUAGAGUUUACACCUGAGCUCACAUGCGCCCUCCUGUACAGUAAAAUAAAAAACAAUAGUAAAAGAAAUAAAAAGCUGAAAUUUUUGGAACAAAAAUUGACGAAUUAUGGACAUGUGUUCAAAUUUUCAUGAAAACGCAACAGAUAGAUAAUCAAUUUUGUUUUUUCUAGGGAAGCAUAUUGACAUGUUUUUUCGUCAUGGAAAUUUGCACACAUGUUCAGAAUUCGUCAAUGGUCGUCCGUAAAAAAAUUCAGAUUUUUAAAACUUAUGUACUAUUUUUAUUUUUACUAUUCACGAGGAUGCGUAUGAGCUCACGAGUAGAAACGAUACUCUCUUCGAGGGUGUGGUGAGUAAGCAACAUCAAAUAUUGACUCAUUCAAUUGUUCACAAUAUCAUAGGGUAGCACGUGCUUUUUGUUGAAAAAGGCUGUUAGUUUAGCAGAGCCACAUUAUUUAACAGCUGCGCCGUGGAAUGUAACAAUAUUAUCCUUUUUCUUUUUGGAGGAAGUUGAAUAAAGUUGUCUUUGAUGUAUCCACCAUUGACAGGUAAAUCCAGUACUUGAAGGACCAUAAUUUAGCAUCGUAAUCUUGCAUCAUCCAGUCAUUGAUAGAAGCUGUCCAGGGAGUCAAGCCACCCAAUAAAGCAAGUGCACCCUCCUUGUUGAACAACUUCGGGACGACUAGAGUGGACAAUGCAUCCAUCGAAAUGACUAAUUCUAUGUCAAAUUCAAUAAUGUCUUCACCGCCUCCCAUAAUUUCACUGGUACCAUAAAUACGCUAGUGCAGUCUUCAUGGUGGUGGACUGGUGGUAAACUGGAAAAUGCGUGUGGAUAACUGGGUUACAGAUGUACAACUAGUUACCCCGAGAAAAUAUAAGGAAGGCAUCACAGGACCCUUGCGACAAUCUGGAGAAUGGUGUUCGGAGCCCAGGAGAAAAGGUUAGAGCUGCUGAUAGGAAACGGUGUCACGAACAACCACAAGGCUGGUGGGCCGCCUGUGGCCAUCGACCAUGGGGAGCAACGGCUAGCGCCCGUGGUGCUCAUGCAAGAAUCUGGGCGUGAUCACAUCGCAUCAUGACAUGGUGAUGGCACGACAACGGCCGACUGAAAGUGCUAGUGAUCGACUAGAGUGGGGGGGGGGGGGUUUAUGAAAGUCUUCAAAACAUGGAAGUUUCGAAGAAAAACGAUAGAAAUUAACCUAUUACCAUGCAGCGGAAGGUAGACUACACUAAGCAAGCCAUAGUCAAUAUUCAAUGAAGUGAAAGCACAAUGACUAAUAGCAGCUAGGCAGUAUAGAUCAGGUAGGAAGAUAGUGUGAAGCCAAUCAGAACAAUCAGUUACUCAGUGAAGACAAAAGAUAAUGCAAUCAUACAAUGACUUCACCAGGGCCCACUAGUAGAAAACAGGGCUUUUGUCCAGGCCUGUUUAGCCCAUUAGUCCCGGUUCAAUCUAGAACCGGGACUAAUGUGAGCAUUUAUCCCGGUUCGUGCGGCUAAGGCAUUAGUCCCGGUUCACCUGUGCCCUUUAGUCCCGGUUUGUGCCUCAAACCGGGACUAAAGGGUGCGAUGCCCAUUAGUCCCGGUUCAUGCCUCAAACCAGGACUAAAGAGUAGACAUUUAGUCCCAGUUUGAGGCACGAACCGGGACUAAUGGGGUUGAGACCCUUAGUCCCGGUUCGUGCCACGAACCGGUACUAAAGGUCCCAUUUUCAAACUCUACCCCCCCCCCUGUGGAUCGCCUUUUCAAUUUUAAAAAAAAUAAAAGAAAAUGAUGGAAAUGUCAAAAAAAUAAAAGAAAAUAAGUUUCCCAUGUGAUAUGUGGUCUAGUUGUUGGGGAAAUUUGCAAAUGUGAAUUUCGACUUUAUUUGCAAAAUCUCUCUGGAAUUUGUAAAUAUGGGCAUAACUUUUGCAUACUAACUCGGAUGAAAAAGUUUUUUAUAUGAAAAAUCAUCUACUCGAAAAGUUACAUCCAAAUUUAACGGGGGAAACCCCGUUAAACAUUUUCAAAAUCCUCAAAAACCUAACAGAAAAAAAGUUACGGGGCUUUUAAUAUCUAGAGUGGAAAAAGUCGGAAAAAUGACAAACUGUGGUCAAACCAUGGUCAAACCAUGGUCAAACCAUGGUCAAACUAAUUAUUCUAGAAUAUUAGUGUUAAUAACUAAUUUGUUCAGUUAUUUUGAAUUUUGGUCAAAUCUGGUCAAACUGUAGUCAAUCCGUGGUCAAACUAUGGUCAAACCCUGGUCAAACUAAUUAUUCAAAAUAACUAUUGUUUUCUAAAUAAUUAUUGUUUUAGAAAACAAUAGUUUGAAACUCAAACAGUGAAAUGUAUCAAUUCAUGCUCAAGCAAAUUUCCUGAGGGUUAAUAGGAUUAACAUCUUACUAUUGUCAGGAAAACAACAAGUGCAGACUUGGAAACGAGGGAGAAUAGAACCCGGAAGUUAAGCGGGCUCAGGCUGGGUGAGUGGGAGGAUGGGUGACCGUUCGGGAAGUUAGGUGAUUUGGAAUGAUGAGGGUGAUUAGAGAAGAGGAUAAAUUGAGCAGUGAUGAGGGGUGCUGAUUAGAGAUUCACUAAUGACGGGUUAAAAUAAUCCAGAAAUAUGAAAAUAAAAAAUUUCAAAAAAAAAUUCAAAAAAAAUUUCAAGAAAAAAAAUCAUAAAAUUUCCAUUAGUCCCGGUUGGUGUUACAAACCGGGACUAAAGGUGGAUUGUUAAAGGAUCCACGUGGCCGCGGCCUUUAGUCCCGGUUCUAGAUUGAACCGGGACUAAAGGGGGGAGGCAUUAGUACCGACCCUUUAGUCCCGGUUCACCAACCAGGACUAAAGGCCCUUACCAACCGGGACAAUAGGCCCUUUUUCUACUAGUGGCCAACAGUAAGUAAAGGAAUGGGAAGGACGAAACCAGUGACUCGUUGAGGACAAUGAUUUGUUGGACCAGUUCCAGUUGCUGUGACAACUGUACGUCUAGUUAGGGAGGCUGAGAUUCAACUCAGAAGACCGCGUCUUCACCUUAUUCCCCUUGAGCUAAGGACACCCAGUCCUCGCCUAAUCACUCUGGUAAGUCUUCAAGGUAGACUCCCAAACCUUCACAGACUUCGUUCACCGGCGAUCCACAAUGACUCUUGGAUGCUCAGAAUGCGACGCCUAACCGACUGGAGGAUUCACAGUCCUCAAGUGUAAUAAGUCUUCAGAUCAUACAGACAGGAAGACUUCAGUGAGGCCUAACACUCUUUGGCUCUGGGUGGUUAGGGCUUUAUCCUCGCAAGGAAUUCUCUCUCAAAGGCUUCGAGGUGGGUUGCUCUCAAACGACAAAAGCCAUACACUAACUCUGAGCAGCCAACCGUUUAUGGUUGUAGGGGGUGGGCUAUUUAUAGACACUAGGCAACCCCACCUGAUUUGUCCGAAAUGACCCUGGGUCACUAAGGAACUGACACGUGUUCCAACGGUCAGAUUUCAAACACACGCAGCAACUUUACUUGGGCUACAAGCAAAGCUAACUUAUCCAGCUCUGGAUAAGAUUUGCUCUUAUUGUCUACGCUCGAAGACAUAGGAUUUUUGUUGAGCAUCACUUCAGUCACUCUGACUUUGUUCACUUGGACCCCACUUAACAGUACGGUGGUUCCUAUGACUCAACAAAGAAGAAAAGGAGACAAUGAAACAACUAAGUCUUCGCGCCCCAUAGUCUUCACGCAAUGUCUUCUCUUGUCAUAGUCUUCAAUGUGAAUAUCUUCACAUACCACCAUUGUCUUCAAUGUCUUCAUACAUUUUUAGGGGUCAUCUCCGGUAGAUAAACCGAAUUAAUGAGGGACUACUUCCUAUGUUAUCCUGUAAUUCUCACAAACACAUUAGUCCCUCAACCAGGUUUGUCGUCAAUACUCCAAAACCAACUAGGGGUGGCACUAGAUGCACUUACAAUCUCCCCCUUAAUGGUGAUUGAUGACAAACUGGUUGAACUUUUCAACGGGGAUAAAAGUAUGUGAAAUGUAAAGGAUUUAGGUAUUGUCUUCAUAAGUGGCAAAGGCUCCCCCUGAAGAUGUGCAUAUAAGUAAUUUGCUUUUGGAAUGCAAAUGCACAUGGCAGGUUGUACUUGUGGAGAUCCUCUUCAACUUAUGACGACAACUCACCAUGCAUGAAAAGUAUGUGAAGAUAAUGACAUGCAUAAUGAAAAAUGGACGUCUGUAGGAUGACCUAAGUGCGGAAGUUAUCAACGCACAUGCGGAAUUUAUCAUCGCAUCACAGAAUAGCAAAUAAGUAGCAGACGACCAUCGAGUUUAAGUGUUACAACUCAAAGAACCAAAUGUAUCAAAAGGCGAGAGUUGUAAACACUAGGCAAAAUAUAAAACCACCGCCCAUGUGGACCCGCUUGAAGACUAUCAAACUCAUAUGCUUCUCCCCCUUUUGUCAGUAAGGACCAAAAAGGUUUGAAGACAUAGAGCACCUACUCGUUCCCAUGAGGAGUUGGUGAAGCAGCAGGGUCGUCGGUGUUGGUUGGCGGUGCAUACGAACUUGGUGCAGUGUCGAUUCACGCUGAAGGUGGUGAAGUAGCAUCGUCUUCAUCAUCGAUGGCACAUGCAUUCACUAUUGCAGCAGAGGAGGAGAACUCAGAGUCUUCAAGAGACGGAGUACGCCACAGCACAGUCCUCCUCGGAGGUGUUGAGUCGAACUUGAAGCGUUCAGAGAAGCCAUCAUCUUGAAGAUCAUCUUCAGAACACAUAAGCGUCAGCCCUUUCCAUGUACGCCGACAAGUUUCAUGGGCGACAAAGGCAUUCUUAGCCCAUUGUGAAUCAUGUUUACGUCCACCAAGAGGCUUUGCAUUUGGCGCUUCAGCCAGUCAUGAUGCUUAUCCUGUUUCUAAUGAAGGGCAACCAGAAGCUAUCGGUCAUUGAGAACACGAGAUCGCUUCUUAGCCCAUUGUGCAAUGGUGCUUUCAGUGGCUUCAGUGAGGGCACGAUGAGGUGCACGGGUAGUACCAGCCAGAGGAUAAACACGAGUGACUGCUGGGACUCCUUCAAUGUGUUGUGAGAAGCUUUGUUUAUCAGCAUUUUGAACACUAAGGGGCUCCUUGGCAGGCCCUGGAUAGAUGGAUUCAACUGACAUAUCGACGUCAGGCAGAAAAAUCAGAUGAUUGCGAGCAGAGGGCUGAUAGGUGACAGCUGAGUGUAGUUUGAUCAGACGAAUAAUCCAUGGAGCGUAAAACUUCAAGCCAAAGAGAUUAGAUCCUGAUGCAGCAAGUUGGCGAAUGAAGAAGUCUUGUGCAUUGAAGCUUUUUCCGUGAAGAAUAUGGAAGACCAAAGUCUUCGUUGCACCUUCAAACUUUGCAUGUGGAGAAUGUCCUUUGAUGGGCCAGAGAGUUCGCCUUAUAAUGUGAUAGAUAAUAUGUGGCAGAUACUCAAGGUCUUCAACAAAGAACUCCUUAGGAUAUUCAGCAUCAGGAGAAAAAGGCUUCAUCAUGCUAAGCAUCUGACUCAUGUUGGGUUCAGGCUUGUGAAAAAUGCUUUCCAUAGCAGCACGGUGAAGCUGACAACCAGGUUCAUAAAGAUCACCUGGAGUGGGCAGGCCAGUGAGCUCAAUGACAUCAAAGGCUUUGGCUUCAUGAUGAACAUUGCCUGUCAUCCACUCAAGGACCCAAGUCUUCGGAUCCCUGUUGUAGCCACGAAUAUGAAGAGUGGCAUAGAAUUGGAGCAGCAAUUCUUCGUUCCAGUGCUCCUUGUCAGUGACGAACUGCAACAAGCCAGACUCUCUGAAGCAAUCCAGCGCUUCUUCCAAACAGGGCAGACCAGUUAUGGCUUCAGUGUCAACACGCAUAUGUGGAAAAAUGCGACCUUGAUUGUAUAGGACGCAUGAGUAAUAACUGCGCUGCUGAUAGCUCCAGAACCGAUCAGAAGAUAUUCUUACCUUAGAGUAGGGGUUCUUGGCGCUAUUAAAGAAGGUGUUGUGUGCUUUGAAGCCAUUGAUAUUGAAUGAUCCGGGUGCAGAUGCAGUGCCUGGAAACCUUGGCAGCCUUGGCAUUGGCUUCUGAACCUGAGGCCUGCGCUCGACGUGAUAGUCAAAUUGGGGACCAGCAGUAGGUGGAGGAACAAGAAGAGGCCAUUUGACAAUGAUAAGCUGGCCAUAGUUGUAUGCUUGCUCAAUAGUAUGUGGCCUUAGUGGCGGAACAGGAGCAGUGGUAUCAACAGAGGCGUCAGGCUGCACAUCUGUUGCAGGUGCAUCAUUGGCUUCAUUGGCUUCUGGCAUAGUGUUUGGUGCAGGCUCCACAUUGUCUUCAGCCAUGACCACGUCAUUGGCUUUAGUGGUGUUAGUGGUGGCAGCCUUAGGAUUCUCAACCUCCACUUGAGGAGCUGGAGGGUUGGGCACCAACACGUUCACUUCAGGAACAGCUUCUUCAGUGAUGGGGGAGUAGGGACACGUUCUUCUGCUUGUUUUUCUUCGGCUGAUGCAUCCGAAUUGUCGUCAGCAACUUUAGCUUCAGACUCGGAGACAUUCACAGUAGGAGUGGCUUAUGGGAACACCUGACAUGCAACAGAUUGGUGGUGCACUUCUCCUUCUGGAACGCUCGAAAGAGGGACUUGGGGCCUUGGUCCUUUGAGAAGCCUGCGUAACAUUGGCGUCGCCUAUGGAGAUGGAGUUGGCUGGGCCUCAAAGUCUUCUUCUUCUUCUUGCACUAGUGGGGUGACUUUUUGUUGGGGAGUACUCGGGGGUCUUGUUGUUGUGGGUGAUUAGCCCAUGAUGCAUCCUGAGCAAUUGUCAUCAGACGACGACCAAUGCUGAUGAGUUCGCUAUUCGUGAGAACAGGCGAUGAUACCAAGUUGUGCUCGAUCUGAGGAAGAACUACAUCAUCUUCAACAUUGUCAUGGUGACCAAUGUCUUCAGCAGCGGUGGGGUCAACUCCUGGAAUGUCUUCAGCUUUAGGAGCCUCUGUGGAAGCAGGCUCAUGAACUACCAUCCGUCGUUUUUGAUGCGAAGAGUCAGGACGAGCAACCGAGAUGGGCUCGACAAUAAGGGGCUCUGUGGGAGCAGCCCGAUCUUUCUUGGUUUUGCGCUUCUUCUUGGAGGGAGCGACAUCAGAAGCUUCAGGAUUUUUCCUCUUUCUGGCUUCAGCCUCGGCAGCCCUUGUCUUCUUCAGUUCUGAAGCAGUUGACUUGACCUCUGGCUUCGAGCCGGACAUGCUGCUUGGGAAGACAAUGCGAGGUUCUUCCCGCCUUGAAGGUGCAGAUUUGUCAGUCGAUGGCUUCUUCUUCUUUGCAGCCAUUCUGGGGUUGAUGCCAGGACGCCCAAGAGCCUUGCGCUUCUCAGCUUCAUUGUAGGCUUACACGCACUUGUCAGCCAGAUUCUUCAUGCGCUCACGAGAAACUUUAGCUUCUUCUCGUUUCUUGAGAAAAGCUUCCUUGAGCUCGUGCAGCAUAACCUUGAAGUUUUUGACAUCUUGCACGCUGAGCUUUGCCAUGUGCUUCUUGAACUGAGCUUUCUCAUAGUCGAUCUUGUGCUUCAGUUCAACGAUGCGCUGAGCUAGAGCUAGCUCAGAAGCAAUGGCGCCAGUGAAAGAGAUGCUGAGGCCAAUUGGAAGUUGCAGAUCUUCAAAGCUAAGAUUGGGGGUUUCAAACCACUCAUCAAUGAAGUUUUGGAGUAUUGCCACGUCAAAGAGAGGCAAAUCAUUGAAGAUCUCUGCUUAUUCCUUGCUCUUAAUCAGUUGCUCAAGAGCGUCAUCUGCAAGAUUUUCAUCACUGGAUAGAUCAAUGUGUUCGUCUUGCAGAAUGGCAGCAGGGGGUCAAUGCCUGAUCAGUAUUCUUUGUCAUCUCCGUCUUCUUGGAAAUACGUGAUAGAUCUUCAGACUGCACACUGUCUACAGGAGGUGCAGUAGCCAAUGGCUUCGCACUGACGCUUUUGGAGGAGCAGCUGACUUUGAAGCUUUAGCCUUCUUUUGCUUCUGCGGCUUUGGAGUAGGAGUUGGGGCUUCAUCAGUGUCGGCAUCAUCAUUAGAAUGAUCCACUUUGGCACCUUGAACAGAAAUGUGAGUGAUAAGGCCAUCAAGGUUGUAGAAAGGUCCGACGAUAUUGGGUUCAGCAUCGCAUGUGCCGUCAGCCCGAGGAGCAGAAGGAUCAGGGUUGAAGUCUAGUCCCAAUGACUUCUUGUUUUCCAUGGUCGAUGCCUUUGCGUGCUGGAAGUUGCGCUUGAAGAGAUUGUCGUCACGACACCAGAGCAGUGAUGAUGGGUCGGCAUUUUCAGGCUGUGGUCCACGGACCAUACAAGGAUAGAAACCCUGAGCAAUAGCUUCAGCUCUGGUCUUGGGUGGAAGGCUUCAGAAGAGAAUGUCACCCCAAGGACUCUUGAUGGCAUUCUUCUCAGCAUACUCCUGGGUCACAAACUUGUAUUUAAACCAUUGUUCGGCCCAAUAUCUUCGAAUCCAUUGGAUUCGUGUCUUACGCUGAUUGUAAUCCUCUUCUGGAUCUGUCUUGUACAGCUCUUGAUGUUCCCCCUUGACGCUGUCUGCCACCCUUUCUUGGUGAUUUCUCUGUAGCCUUGAACUUCAAACUGAAUGGCUUCAACACGUUCAAAGGCUUCCGCUUGCUGGUCAAACAGUAACUGGCUUCGGGAGAGUUAAUGUGAUGCUGUAAGAAUUCUGCAAACGACAUCUGAUAUUGCUCUUGCAUCAUAUAUCCAAACUCUUCACUGUAUUUCUGAUUGGUGUAGCCGAAGAUAAUGUCAUCCACAUAUAUUUGGCACACAAAAGUUCACCAUCAUAUGUCUUCGUGAAGAGAGUGGGGUCGAGGGAACCAGGUUUGAAGCCUUUGCUCUUCAGGAAGUCUUUGAGUGUGCCAUACCAAGAACGAGGGGCUUGUUUGAGGCCAUACAGUGCCAUGUUGAGCUUGUACACCAUGUCAGGAUGUUUUGGAUCUUCAAAGGCAGGCAGUUGUGCAACAUACACUUCUUCUUCAAUCUUGCCAUUGAGAAAAGCGCUCUUCACAUCCAUUUGAUACAGAAGAAUGUUAUGAUGAUUUGCAUAGGCCAGCAGUAUGCGUAUGGCUUCAAGUCUAGCCACAGGAGCAAAUGUUUCAUCGAAGUCAAUCCCUUUAACUUGAGUGUACCCUUGAGCAACAAGACGGGCUUUGUUUCUGACAACUUGACCAUGCUUAUCUUGCUUGUUGCGAUAUAUCCAUUUGGUGCCUAUUAUAUUGUGCUUGCGAGGAUCAGGACGCUUAACCAAUUCCCAAACAUUAUUCAGCUCAAACUGUUGAAGCUCUUCUUGCAUUGCUUGAAUCCAUUCAGGUUCCAUGAAGGCUUCUUCAACUUUCUUGGGUUCAGAUAUUGAGACGAAUGCGAAGUGCCCACAGAAAUUUGCUAGUUGUGUUGCCCUCGAACGAGUGAGUGGACCUGGUGCAUUGGUGCUACCAAUUAUUCUCUCAAUCUGUACUUCAUUUGCAACACGAGGAUGUACAGGACGAAGAUUUUGCUCUUGCUUAUCAUUGUCAUCGUUAGAAGGAUUUUCUUCAGGCUGAGCAUUGUCUUCAGAUUGAUCAGGUGCGGAGAUGAUAAGUUCCUCUUCACGCUGAGAUUCAGAUGGUAUGAUUUCUCCAUUUCCCAUAAGUUUGAUUGAUUCACUAGAUGGAACUUCAUCUAGCACGUUUGGCAGGUGCUCUCUUUGUGAGCCGUUAGUCUCAUUGAACCGCACAUCCACUGUUUCAACUAGUGUAUAGUGAAAAGGGUUGAAGACUCUGUAGGAGUGCGAAUCCUUUCCAUAUCCAAGCAUAAAACCUUCAUGUGCUUUUGGUGCAAAUUUUGAAGUGUGAUGUGGAUCCUUGAUCCAGCACCCUUGAUCCAGCACCUGGCACCAAAUACUCUGAAGUAACUGACAUUUGGCUUCUUACCAGUAAGGAGCUCAUAGGAUGUCUUGUUGAGAAGCUUGUGAAGAUAAACACGGUUGAUGAUAUGGCAUGCAGUAUCAAUGGCUUCAGGCCAGAACUUUCUUGGAGUCUUGCAUUCAUCAAGCAUCGUCUGGGCCAUCUCAAUAAGUGUUCUGUUCUUGCGUUCCACGACGCCAUUCUGCUACGGUGUGUACGGAGCUGAGAAUUCAUGUGUAAUGCCCAAAGUAUCAAUAUAAGUGUCUAGACCAGUGUUAGCAAAUGUGAUGUGACUUUUGUCAGAUGGACGUAAGGUAGAGUCCAUAAGAAGACUUCGCUUGGCAGUCAUGUGAUUAUUACACCCACUAUCAAUAAUCCAUUCUGAAGCAGCUGGUGUCGUACCCUACAAUGCAGUUAGGGGGAUAGGCUUCACGAAGAGAAUUGUGAAGCAUAAACAUUUGACGAGCAAGUGGAUUAUGAAAGCUUAGAUCAAGGUUAGGACUGAUAGGGCAAGUACAAGCGACUCAGGAACAAAAUACAUAAUAAGACCAUUUGGGCAUUUGAUGUUGCGCCCUACAAGAUGUUUAAGGUCCCCAGCAAUAGAGUCAGACGAUUUUGGUUUUCGGCUGGAGACCUUUCCCUGCAAAAGAGAGUUAAGCUUUCUUAGCCACCCACAUCUUCAAGGGUGGCUUCGAAGCAAUUAGUCUAAGUGCAACAUCUGAGAACUUUGGCUUUGGAGCCCUAGUAAAAAGUCUUGCAGGUGGACAAUAGUAGUCAUAAGAAUAAGCAGAAUAGUUCUUGGUCUUAUGAACAUGGCGGUUUGAUGAACCGCGCUCAUAUUCAUAGGCCUGAGUAUGGCUUCCCUGCAAAACAUUUGCAUUAGUGCGACUCAGGUGAGUCCUCUGUCUAUAUGAAGCCUUUGGGUCGUAUGAAGCCUGUGGUCUGGGGUUUGUCUUCUUCACUUGUGGUGUCAUGACGACAUUCACAGGAAGAUUCUACAAACACCUUUUCAUCACCCAGACCUUCUUCAUAGGCGGCCCAUUCCUGCAGUUAGUACCAAUAUACCUAGCAAACACUUCACCAUUCUGAUUCUUAAACAGUUUAUAGUUUGCAUCAAAGGAUUCAUCAGUAACAAUGGGAUUAGCACAAGCGAAGCUAGAUAGGGUGGAUGGAUCCACUAAAGGUCCCUUUGCAGCAACACAUGUGGUUUUCGGGUACUGCUCAGGUUUCAAGUAAGAGCCAUCAACAUUCAUUUUCCUUUCCAACCCAACACCCUCUUUCCUAGGGUUUCGGUUCAGGAUCUACCUUUUGAGGACAUCACAUAGUGUCUGAUGCCCUUUGAGACUUUUGAACAUCCCUGUUUCAAGCAAUGACUUCAACCUAGCAUUCUCAUCAGCAAUAGUAGUGGCAUCCUUAGCAGAAGGGUUAGUUAUCACAUCAAUAGUUGAAGAUAUUGCAACAAUAGCAGCAGUAGAACAUUCAGCAGCAGAAGUACCGUUAUCACGCUCAAUGCAUUUAAGACAUGGUGGUUCAAAACCUUCCUGAGCGGAACUGAUCUGUUUGGCGCGAAGUGACUUGUUUUCCUUUUGAAGAUCUUCAUGAGACGCUCUCAAUUUCUCGAGUUCUUGCUUCCUUUGAAGAUAAUCAUAGGAAAGCUUUUCAUGAGUUGUUGAGAGCGUUUCAUGACGACUUUCAAGUUCCUCAUACUUAACAUGAAUUUUUUUUAUAUCUUCAAUUAAGGACUGAGAUCGAGUCAUUUCAGUGUCCAACAGGUCAUCGCUUUUGUCUAACAGUUUUUGAAUAUGUUCCAUAACUUUCUGUUGUUUAGUGGCAAGGGAAGCAAGUUUUGUAUAGCUGUGUCCAAAUUCAUCACCGGAUUCAUCAUCACUGGAUUCAGAUAGAUAGCAUUCAGUUACCUUAGCAUCUUUUGCCAUAAGGCAUGAUGUAGAAGAUGAUGAUUCUGGUUCGAAUGUCGUCGCUUUGAGAGAUUCCUUAAAGUCCUCAAACCAAGGAUCAUGACGAGUUCGAUGAGCUUCAUAGACCUCAGAGAGACGGUCCCAGAUAAGCUUCGCAUGAUCGAGAUGCAUGAUAUUCCUGAACUGAUUUUGAGAUAGACAGGAGCAGAUGACGUCCUUCGCCGUGAGGUUGAGAAGAGUGUACUUGUGAAUGUCAUCAGCUUCCGCCAUCUUGCACAGAUCGGUCAGACCAAUCUCAGUGACGGUCCACAGCUUGCUGUUCAUCACCAUGAGGCGCUUCUUCAUCAUGGCCUUCGACUUGGGAUACUCGUGACCGUCAAAGAUGGGGCAUGACACAGUCUUCAUUCCUGUGGUCGACAUAACUAAAACUCCAGGCGGUUAAACCAAAAUCACACAGAACAAGGGAGUACCUUGCUCUGAUACCAAUUGAAAGUGCGUUAUAUCGACUAGAGGGGGGGUCAAUAGGCGAUUUUUAUGAAAGUCUUCAAAACAUGGGAGUUUUGAAGACAAACGAUAGAAAUGAACCUAUAACCAUGCAGUGGAAGGUAGACUACCCUAGACAAGCCAUAGUCAAGUAUUCAAUUAAGUGAAAGCACAAAGACUAACAACAGCUAGGCAGUAUGGAUCAGGAUGUAAGAUAAUAUGAAACCAAUUUGAACAAACAGACACACAGUGAAGACAAAUGGACAAUGCAAAUAGGCAAUGACUUCACAAGGACCAACUGUAAAUAAAGAGAUGGGAAGGAUAGAACCAGUGAGCUUGCUGAAGACAAAGGUUUGGUAGACCAGUUCCAACUGCGGUGACAGUUGUACGUCUGGUUAGGGAGGCUAGGUAUUUAAACCUGAGGGCACACAGUCCCGGAAACCCAGUCCUGAACACGCAGCUCAGGACACUCAGUCCACACCAUAUUUCCCUUGAGCUAAGGUCACACAGACCUCGCCCAAUCACUCUGGUAAGUCUUCAAGGUAGACUUCCAAACCUUCACACACUUUGUUCACUGGCGAUCCACAAUGACUCUUGGAUGCUCAAAACGUGACGCCUAAUCGGCUGGAGGAUUCACAGUCCUCAAGUGUAAUAAGUCUUCAGAUCACACAGACAGGGAGACUUAAGUGAUGCCUAACACUCUUUGGCUCUGGGUGUUUAGGGCUUUAUCCUCGCAAGGAAUUCUCUCUCAAAGGCUUCGAGGUGGGUUGCUCUCAAACGACAAAAGCCGUACUCUAACUCUGAGCAGCCAACCGUUUAUGGUUGUAGGGGGUGGGCUAUUUAUAGCCACUGGUCAACCCGACCUGGUUCGUCCGAAAUGACCCUUGGUCACUAAGGAACUGACACGUGUUCCAACGGUCAGAUUUCAAACACACACAGCAACUUUACUUGGACUACAAGCAAAGCCGACUUAUCCAACUCUGGACAAGAUUUGCUCUCAUAGUCUUCACUCGAAGAUAUAGGAUUUUGGUUAAGCAUCACUUCAGUCAUUCUGACUGGUUCUCUUGGACCACACUUAACAGUACGGUGGUUCCUAUGACUCAACAAAGAAAAACAUAGAACGACAAAACUGCUAAGUCUUCGCGCUCCAUAGUCUUCACGCGAUGACUUCUCUUAUCAUAGUCUUCAAUGUGAAUGUCUUCACAUACCACCUCUGACUUCAAUGUCUUCAUACAUUUUUUGGGGUCAUCUCUAGUAGGAAAACCGAAUCAAUGAGGGACUUCUACCUGUGUUAUCCUGCAAUUCUCACAAACACCAUUAGUCCCUCAACUAGGUUUGUCAUCAAUACUCCAAAACCAACUAGGGGUGGCACUAGAUGCACUUACAAACUCCUGCCGGCUGGAAAGACAUGGCAAGAUUUAGUCCAACAACAGCUUGAAUCAAGGAGAGAGGCAAGUAAGGUGAUAAAAAGCUUAAGUUUUACAUGAAUCACUAUUCUUAAUGAGGUUAUAAAUACAGUUAUUCAAACUGGUAUAUUUUCAAAUGACGAGAGAGUUCCAAGUCUUAAUUUUUUAGUGUCAUCUCGGCCAUAGUUUUAUCUUGGACUUCCCCACCUUUCGAUUUCACUGUGACCUUUGCCAGUAAUCCUCCGUUGAUUUGUUCAUGUGCUGCUCAACUCUCUCCCUCUCUUGAUCCAUCAUGUCGUAUAUGAAAUCCCUUCAUGUCUUCAUUCCACUUUAUAUUGUCGCAGGUGGCCAGGCUAAGAUGUGGUCUCUGUCUUGAGGAAGAUGCACACUGCGUGAUGUAUACAACUACAAACAUUCGGAGGAUGAAAGUAAAUAUUUCUUGGUUCUUAUGUUGGGUGAUUUGCAACACGAGAUGGUAACUAAUUCCUAUUGUUUGACUUAGUGCCACUCCAUCAUGUUUUGUUUCUAAUGCGUUUAGGCAUUAGUUACUUUCUGAAGCGUUAAUGACAAGUACAUUUACAUGGGCCUUUAUUAUACAUUUACAUGCGCAAGUGAUGAACCUAUGUACACUACACCACAACAAUGUAUUCCCUAUGGACGCGUGUUGGGUUAAGUUAGUAGUUUGGUAUUCGAAAGAUGUUUUCCCACAAUAUAGUUUUUCGACACACAAUUCAUAUUUUAUUAGUUAAAAGUGAAAGUUGUGGUUGUACCCCCCUUAUCUAACCAUCCAUUUUGUGCCUCGCGGUCAAUUCAUGAACUUUCCACUUUUGCAUCUCCAAAAUAAAUGAGCAUAUGGACAUCAAACUUUACAGGUCAACAACGUAUUCGAUCUACGACAUGUAACAAAAAAUUCAGUUUUUUUGUUCAAAUUAAAUUUUGUAUAUUUAUAAUAGAUCAACAAAUUCCAUAUUCUCUUUCCAACAUUUUAGUUCCAAAGUUAUAAUGAUCUAUAAAGUUUGAUGUACAUAUGUUUUAUCAUUUGAGAGGAACCCACAAAAGAAAUUUGUAUGUCCUAAGUUAGUUGGAUAGCACAUAUCUCGAAACAAUGUUAGAGGGUAUAGAUAAGGGAGUGUGCACUUAGUAUUAGCAAAACCAAUCUCUAUUUAAAAUGUUGGUCAAAGUUUUACUCAUAAUAUCGGAGAAAGUAGUUGCUAGAAAUUGAUGAGGAUUUUGUGCAUUUACAGAAUAUAUCUAGGAGAUAUAUAGUAGCCAGUUAAUUUUGUGAGAUCAUUUAUGUACAGAUAUGUGGUCAUUUUAUUGUAUUAAUUGUAAUAGGAUUUUUUGGCAUGGUACUAAAAUUAUCUAAAUAUUGGCCGAUGGAAAUAGAUAGCGCUCAAAUAUUAUCACGAGAAGGCAUGUUUUCAAUCCUUUAAAACUCAACCACACACACUAGCAGGAACACACUACCCAGAUCGAGAGAUACCGAUCUCUCACACUAGGUUUGCUACGUAGUGAGCCUGCCGGCCAAGAUUUUGCUUUGGGAUCUCUUCUACCGUUGGUCGCCAUUCCACUGCACUCUUCCAUUUCAAGGUCUGUUAUUCAGUCCAUAGCUGGUACUAGAUGGUAGUAGUAGACAGUAGAGACUAGUAGUACUGUGCUGCAUAGGUAGAUGCAUGGUUCGCAUAUAUUCAUUUUUUAUAUGAGAAGUAUAUAUAAGUAAAAAUCGUAGGAGUGGUCGUUCAGUUGGAAUUGAUCUUCCUGUGGUGCCGUUUUGUUUGUAGUAUUAAUUCAGCGGAACACCCCAGCAGACCAGAGGAACACCGUUCGUUUCCUCUGAUUUUAUGGGAGUCAAAACAUUCGGGCCGAGCUCUUUUUUGUAGGAAAGCCCGAGGAAAAGAGAUAUAAUGCUACCCUGCGAUGCAACUCUUCUUUGCCAUGGGCUGGUCCAAGAAACACGCGUAGGUGAGUUUGGUCCAUAACUUGUAUCUAGGCCAAGUAGUGUUAUUGGCAGGUCAUCCGACAAUAAUUGUGUCCCGCCUUUUGAAUAGGUCGAGGUGGUUGAAUUGUGUGCUAAUAGGAUCUUGUGUGGAAUUGCAGGCACUUGAAUUGCACAUGGAGUUUGGAACUACAGUCUCGACCUGCAACGCGACGGUGGUUCAGGAUAGCCACAUCUUUGUGGUUAAUGACUAUAGUGUCAUCAAGGAAACUGGACCGGGUAAUUUUAUGAGGUCCCAUGCCUUCCAAGUUGGUGAGUAUGACUGUUCAGUUAGAUUCUACCCACAAGGAAUCAAUGCUGAAAGCCAAAAGCACAUCUCUAUUCUUGUUGAGCUUAUGAGGGAAAAUGCUGAAGUGAAGGCAAUAUUUUGUUAUCGAUUGAUCUCCCCAGGAGGACAGAGCACGGAGUUGAAUCAGAUCGGAGUGUUAAACUUAUCUAGUGCAGAAGGAAAAUGUAGGAUGGAAGGGUGUGGGACAAGGUAAUGGAGAAAACUUUGCUUGAAGCAGAAUAUGUGGAAUUUGACCACUUCUUGAUUGAAUGUUCGAUCACUGUUAUGAAAGAUCCAUUGGUGACUUGCAGUGACUUACUACUUUCACCCCAAGUGAAGCUGCCACAAUCCCAUCUAUCAACUGAUAUGGCAAAUCUAUUAGAGUCAAAAGAAGGGGCGGACGUGACCUUCUACUUCCAAGGUGAAUCAUUUCUUGCACAUAUGCUAGUGCUUGCUGCAAGGUUACCUGUGUUUAGGGUGCAGCUCUAUGGCCCAAUGAUGGAGAAAGAUGGAUCAUCUAUAAUCCUGCAAGAUAUGUUACCUGACGUAUUUAAGGCUCUCUUAUAUUUUGUACACAGACUGCUUGGUGCUUCCUUUCAACAAUUUCGAUGACGAGGACAUAGAAGAGAUUGUACUUCACUAACUCGAGGCUGCCGAUCGAUACGCAAUUGAAAAGCUGAAGCUCAUAUGUGAGGCUAUUCUUUACAGGUGUCUUGAUGUACAAACAGUGGCAACUACAUAUGCGUUAGCUGAUCAACAUUAGUGUAACGAUCUCAAACAGGAAUGCCUCAAAUUUAUGGCAUCUCCAACAAAACUUGGUUAAGUCAUGGCAAGGCAAGACUAUGAUAACCUCAAGAGAAAGAGUGCUAGUUUUUCUAAGCGUAAAUGAAAAGUAUGUUUACACGAGUCUUUAUUAUACAUUGACAAGUGCAAGUCAUGAGCGUGUGUAGGAUGUGGAGAGUGUGGAUGCAACCAAUCCAAGACUUGGCGUUCGCUAGUGAAAACAGCAGCUCAGUUGAGUGAGCGAGGCGACGCCAAGGAGGAGGGUGAAGCCGUGCGAGCCCGUGCUCGUCGCAACCAGUUAAGGAGGAGAGUAGGAGCUAGAGGCCAUAGUGCGAGGUUCUGUCUAGACGGAGGGAAGCGAGCUCGGCCCGGAGUGUAGGAGGCAUAGCAGCAAGAGCCACCACGGCGUGGUGGAUGGGCAAGGUGAGUCGGAAGCAUAGCUCGCCUAUAGGGAGCCAGUAGACCUGGCGUCACACAUGUGUUUUCCCUUUUUAAUUUUAUUUCUAUUAAAAAGAGUAUAUACAUUAUUAUGAAAAGAUAAUUUAUACAAUUUUUUAAAAGUGUUCAUUCCACAUUAAAAAAUGUUCAUACUGUGUAAAAAAUGAUUGCUCAAUAUUUAGGAAAUGUUUGUACUCCCUCCGUUUCUUUUUAGUCUGCAUAUAAAAUUUGGUCAAAGUCAAACUUUGUAAAGUUUGACCAACUUUAUAAGAAAACAUAUCAACAAUCACAGUAUGAAACCAAUAUAUUAGAUGCGUCAUGAAAUGGAUUUUCAUACCACAUAGUUUUAGUAUUGUCGAUGUUGAUACUUUUUUAUAUAAAUUUGCUCAAACUUUGUGUAGUUUGAAUUUGACCAAAUCUUAUAUGCAAACUAAAAAGAAACAGAGGGAGUACCAUUCGAUAAGAAGUAUGUUUCAUUUCGAAGCUAUUCACUUGUUUCCAAAAAUGUACGUGGCAUUUUGAAAAAAAAUUAUACAAUGUAAACAAUGUGUGCAUAAUUCGGAAAAAUGUUUCAUGCAGUUUAGAAACAAUGUACAUUACACAUAAAAAGAGCUAUGAACAAAAGGCGUGUCAAGGCAAAAGCAAAACAAAAGACACCAACAUUCUUAGACAUGCCCUAUGGAGAUUGAAGGCUAUGGAUUCUUCUCGAGAGCUCAUACGCACACUCAUGAACAGUAAAAAAUAGUAAAUGAUAUAAAAAAACUGAUUAUCUUGGAACAAACAUUGAUGAAUUCUCCACAUGUGUGCAAAUUGUUAUGACGAAACAACACAUAGAGCAUCAAUUUUGUUUCUUUUCUACGGAAGUAGUUUUACAUGUUUUUUAUUCAUGGAAAUUUGCACGCAUGUUCAGAAUUGUUAAUGUUUGUUCGCAUUAAAAAAUCAGAUUUUAAAAAGUUUGUAUACUGCUUUUCUUAUUUUACUGUUCACGAGGAUGCAUCUGAGCUCGCGAGCAGAAACUUGAUGUCCCUGAUCUUUGUGCAUCUCAUGGCCUAGAAUUGGAGCUAGGAUUUCGGAGAGGGUGCGGUGAGUAAGCAACAUGCAAUACUGACACAUUCAUUGUACACAAUACCAUAGGGUAGCACGUGUUUUUUCUGUUGAAAACGACUACUGAUUAGCACAACCAUGUUAUUCAACAGCUGUGCACCGUGGGCUCCAAGGAUCUUAUCCUUUUCUUUUUGGAGGAAGCUGAAUAAAGUAUUCUUUGAUGCCUCCACCAUCGACAGGCCAAUCCGGUACUUGAAGGCCCGUAUUUUAGCCUCGUAAUCCUGCAUUACCCGGACAUUGAUAGAAGUUAGCUUGGAGUCGAGCCACCCCAUAAAGCACCAUAUUAGGAAAGAAUGUUGAACAACUUUUGUAGGAAACCAUUGUAGGAAAGGCCAGAGAUGCUGAUCGGCACCGGCGUCACAAAGAUGAUGAGCUUGGCGGCCCCGUGUGGCAGUCGACGAUGGGGAGCGAUGACUUGGCGGUGGCGGUGCUCAAGAAAGAAUGCGGGUGUGGGUGUCCUGCUGGGCAAUGACAUGGUGACGACACAGCAGCGGCCGACCUCCUUGGGUGGCAACCAGAUGAGUAUCAUGUCAAUGAUCUCCUCAGGUAGGUCCUCGAGCAGGGUCACACAUCUCCUACCCAACUUCAUAGUGCGUCGACGACUUCGGUCGAUUGAAAAGACAUGGCAAGCUUUAGUCCAAUAACAACUUCAAUCAAGAAGAGAAGCAAACAAAACUAAUGGCAAGUACAUUUACAUGGGUGUUUAUUAUAAAUUGAAAACUUCAAAUGAUGAACAUUUGUAGGACGUGGACAGAGUGGAGGCAACCAGAUCUAGACUUGGUAUUCACUAGUGAAAACGGAAUUGACUGCUAAACCGAAUUAUACACUGAACUAAAGCCAAAUACUCUAGUGAAAACAGAGUGUCGGCUAAACUAAAGCCACAUACAAUGCUAGCUUAACAGAAACUGGACUCGGAAGGCGAGACUGUCGGAGGGUCCUCGCGAUGGUAUAGCGAGCUAUGUGCGCAUCAUGAAAAUGUUAUUUCGCUUGUAAUUGACUAGCUUGACCACUAGCCGAAGGUGGAGAGAGAAAAUCAAAAGGACGCACCAGAGAAGAGAGAGACAACAACGGCCAAUUUGGGUUGCAAAAAUGCUCACCUCCAUUGGUGUAGAAGGUGGUGGAGAAGGUGUUUGCUAGAGAUAGAAAGAGCAUUGGCUCGGUUGAGUGAGUGACUGUGAGGCGACGCCAGGGCGGAGGGUCCAGCCGGGUCGGGGCCGUGCUCAUCCGUGUCUAGGCCAGGAAGAGAGUUGGAGCUGGAGGCCAUCGUACGAAGUUCCAAUGUCUGGCGGCAGGCGAGCAAACUGAAUCUGGUAUCCAGGAGGCAGGGCAGGAGCUGAGACAGCAAAGGUGGAUGGGCAUGCCAAGACGGUAGAUGAGCUCACCUAAAGGGAGCAAGUAGACAUGAUAUCACUCAUGUGCUUUUUCCUUUUUAUUUUGUUUAUAUUAAAGAAAUAGUAAAUAAACAAAGGUUGCUCCACUCUUAGAAAAUGUUUGUACCGUUCAUAAAAACUACAAGUGACAUUUAGUUUUUGCAUGCAUGUCAAGAAAAUGUAUGUGACAUUUUUGGAAAAUGUUUGACAUUAUAUUUUUUGUGUAAUCCAAACAAAAUGUUUCGUACCGUACAAAAUGUUCAGAACUUGUAUUUUGAGAAAACGUUAAUCGUAUAUUAAUCUUUUAACACACACACACACACACACACACACACACACACACAAAAGUAUUUUCAAUGUAAAAGAUAUACAAUGUGUAAGAAAAAGUAUACAUCAAAACAUCUACAUGAAAAUUAGUUAAUCAUAUAUUCGAAAAUGUUCAAAACACGUAUUUGGAAAAUUACUAGUCAAGUAUUGAAAAUCUUAAAUAUAUGGAAAAUUACCUCUAAAAAAGGGAGCAAAUUGAUUUCGAAAGGAGCCACAUCUAUGUUCUAUUAUUUAUUAAAGUAUUUGACGGGUUUCCCAAAAAAAGAUAAAUAGACUAAAAAUUACCACAAUAAUUAGAAAUAUAUGACCAUCAAAUUAAUAAACCAAUUUUUUAUAGCCAUUAGAUAUGAUUGUAAGUUAACAAACAUACAGUUAUAAAUCAAAUUUGCAGUUUAACAUUUUGGUUUGAGCCUGACCACGCAUUCUCUAGUGAUCAAUCAACAUAGCACCAUAUUAGAACAUGUAUACGCUAACCAACAUGUGGUUGGAUGGUUAGGAGAAUAGUGGUAUUCCCCAUCCCAUCCCAUGAGGGUUCAAGUCCUAGACUUGGCGCUGGUGUUCUCACUUUCCUUGGAUGCGGCUGGGAACAACAUACAAUUAUAAAUGGGUUGGACAAAGAAAUGUCUUAGCAUCAUCGCCUGCAGCUGCACCCCUUGAGCUGAUGCACCAGGUUGUUGACCUUGUUGAAGUUCACGGGCUGCUUCCUGGGUAUCUCAAAGCAGAGCGGACGAAAUAAGUACCCAAGAUGACAUGACGAAAGCAGAUGAAAAGAAGGGGGUCUUGGGGGCGGACAACAAGCCGACGAUGUCGUUGAGGAUUCUGUUGGUGUUGGCGAUGAAGAGGUUGAUGACCUCAGGGACCAAGGUUGGGCCUGAGCUGCCAUCCUCGUCCAUCGACUACAAGCACUGGAAAUACUCAUCCACCAUACCCUAGAUGGAUCAGUUCACGAGAAGCUAAAGUGAUAGUCAGCCAGCAACCACACGGGUUUAGUAGGGGGUUGAGGGUGGAAUGGCCAUGGCAAACAUGGAUGGGACAAGGUUGUUCAACUGGGCCCUAAGCGCGGCAGCCGCCAUGGCGAUCGAUUGGGGGAGAGGAGCAGGUGCUGGAGGGAUCCGAAGCUGUUGUGGCUGCGGCGGUGUUGUCGAUGAAGAGUGGAGGAGGCUUGGGGAUGGAGACCCUUAUAUGCCCGGAUGGAUGAGGCUAUCCGCGCGAAGACGUGUGGCUGGGAGUGCCCCCCAUUAACAGUGUACUAGUGGCUCGGCCGGGAGCCAUUAAGGAGCUAGAUGUUGUUGACGCUGGAUGCAGAUACAUGGGCGCUCUGUCAAGGCUCGUUGGAUAGUUGCACCACUGGCCAUUGACAGUCGGCAUCUCUCUAAAAAAUAAAAACCUCGAGAUGUAUGAAUACCAACAAGAAGUUUAGUGGUGGCUGGCUGAGCUUGUCUUAUGGAUUGAUCGAGGGGCAUCCAGAAGGAUGAUGGAAACCAGCCGUUUAAUCGUAGUUGGUUUAAUAAUUUGUCAGUUGCAUUUAAAUUUUUUUCGAAAAGGGGGACUCCCCGGCCUCUGCAUCAGAACGAUGCAUACGGCCACAUUUAUUAGCAAGUAAAAAGGUUCAACAAGGUCUUUAAGUCCGCGAACCAAAAAGAUCGGCUAGCUCACAUAGAGCGUCAACGCCAAAACAGAAAACCUGAUAAACCACAACCGGCUGGCAAAAUAACAGAUAGGUAAACUAAUCGCCUAUCCUAUUACAUGACCGUCAUCCAAACCGGUUGAAGAUAUCCCGCGCUACCAUCUUCCACCGGACAGAUCCAGUAACCAAACGCUCCCUGGCCUCCGUCGGAGUGAGUAAGGACCACAUACGGAUCAACGCAGUAGCCCGGAAUAAAACCUGCAAAAAUGAAUGGUUGGUGUUCUGUUAAAUGCCAAAUCAUUUCUGCAAUUCCAAAUUGCCCAUAACAACACACAAACUCCUACACGAAUGUGUCUAGCUGUUUCUGGCUCUAUCCCAGCAAGCCAUGUCCCGAAUAACGUGUUGACCGAAUUCAGAGGAGUAACGUUAAAGGCAAUUUGCACAGAGCGCCACAACCCUCGUGCCAACGGGCAGUCAAAGAAGAGGUGCUUGAUAGUCUCUUCCCGAUCACAGAAGCUACACCUAGUAGAGUCUGUCCAGUUUCGCUUAACUAGAUUGUCCUUUGUUAAAAUUACUUGUUUAUGAACAAACCACAUAAACACUUUGAUUUUCAAAGGGACCUUGACGUCAGUUGCAUUUAAUAAUCGAUGCAAUGCGUGUGUGUUUGAGGACAAGAGGACAAAGAAGAGACGGAACAUAAUUGUAUAUCCAACUCAUGUUCGCUUUGCUCUACAACAAGCAAGUUCAGUUCAGUAAUGGAAUGAAUUUGUUCCGGCUAAUAAUAGAAUAAAAAACUCCACAAUGCUCGUUCGCCAGAGCCAACGGCAUUCCGUUCGAUUGCUUCGCUUCGCCUCUCUCGUGUAAACGAAGGAGUAGUUCGUUGGAUUGUUUUCUCGCGUCUAAGUCAGCCUUGUGGAGACGUCCUGGCUCAGCUGGGAACCAUUAACAACUAAAGGUUGACGACGCCGGAUGCAGCCAGAUGAGCCACGGUUCAAGGCUCUGACCACUCGUUCGAUGGGUCCUCCACUGGCCAUUGACGACCGGCAUCUCUAAAAACCUUGAGAUGUAUGUUCACGAAGAACAAGUUUAGUGACGGCUGGCUAAGAUUGUGUAUGGAAAAUCAUCAAUGCUUAAUUAAUUAUGAGUUUGAAGUGCAUGCACAUUAAGAAGAGGGAGUUGCCAUCACAUACUAGUUUAUACAUCAGUUGUUGUAGGAAUAUUUAUAAGUCCAAUGGUGGGAGCAAGUAGCCGCGACGUUACACAUGUGUUAAAAAUACUAAUACUUGUAUUAUGGAAAUAUAAUUUGGUUAAUUUGUUAAAAUUGUUCAUCGCACAUUUGAAAAUUGUUCAAUAAAGAAAGUUUGCUCAACUCUUAGAAAAUGUUUGCACCAUUCAGAAAAACAGUAAGUGACAUUUAAUUUUUUUUCCACGCAUUUAAAGAAAAUGUACGUGACUUUUUCGGAAAAUGUUCGACAUUACAUUAUUUUUUGUGUAAUCCAAAACAAAAUGUUUCGUACCAUUAAAAACAGUGCACGUUCCACUUAAAAAUAUCGUUCACAUGUUAAAAAGAAAUGUCCAGAACUUAUGUCUACAGAAAGUUCACAUGUUUAAAAAGUGAAGUAUCUACAGAAAGUUCAUAUGUUUUAAAAAAAUGAAGUAUCUACAGGAAGUGCUUCCACGGGAGACUUGUGCCUAGUAGUAUUUAGGCCAAGAAAAUCGUGUGCCCUUUUGAUUUGCCACACAUUAGAUACUAUGCACGCAUCAACGAUCGCAUCAUUUAUCGGAACGAGCACGCGAAGGAAAGCUCCUCAGAAAGUUAUCUGCUACUGAUCCUAAGGAAGAAAGCUCAAGCGCUGGCUUGGAUGUCAAUUUGCGCCGUGACAUGGCGACGACACGACAGCAACCGACCUCCUUGGGUGGCAACCUGAUGAGUAUCUUGUCAAUGAUGUCCUUGAGCAAGUCCUCGAGCAAGGUCAUGCCUCUCCUGCACGGUAUUGUAGUGCGCCAUCGACUCAGUCGGUUAGAAAGACACACCAAGAUUUACUCCAAUAACAACUUGUAUCAAGAAGAGAAGCAAGCAAAUUGACAGAAAGCAUAAGUUUUGCAUUGAUCAGCAAUGUCAAGUAAAUUUACAUGGGUCUUGAUUAUAGAUUGAAAAUUUCAAAUGAUGACUGUGUGUAGGACGUGAAGAGAGUGGAUGCAACCAACUCAAGACUUGGUGUUCGCUAGUGAAAACAGAACUGACGGGUAAACAGAUUUAUACACUGAACUGAAGCCAAAUACACUAGUGAAGAUAGAGUGACGGCUAAACUAAAGCCAUAUACAGUGCUAGCUCAACAAAAAAUAGACUUGGAAACCGAGACCCUCGGAAGGUCCUGCGACGGUAGCGAGUUAUGUGCACAUCAUGAGCAUGUUCUGUCGCUUGUAAUUAACUAGCUUGAGCGUUAGCUGAAGGUGGAGAGAGUAAAUCAAGAGAACGCACCCUAGGAGAGGGAGAUAGAGAGAGACAACAACGGCCAGUUCUGGCGGCGAUAGUGCUCACCACCAUUGGGGGAGAACGUGGUGGAGAAGGGGCUCGUCAGAGCAGCGGCUCGGUUGAGUGAGUGAGGCAACGCCAGGGUGGAGGGUCAAGCCGUGUCGGGGUCAAGCUCUUCCGCGACUAGGCUAGGAGGAGAGCUGGAGCUCGAGGCUAUACAACAAAGUUCUAGUGUGUGGAGGGAGGUAAGCAAGCUCAAUCCGGUAUGCGGGAGGUAGGGCAGGAGCCGCAUCGUCAAGGUGGAUGGGCAUGUCGAGACGGAAGCUGAGCUCACAUGUAGGGAGCAAGUGGACGUGACAUCACACAUUUUUUUGUUUUUUUUAUUUUAGAAAAAUACUAAAUACUUGUAUUAUGAAAAUAUAUUUUGGUCAAUUUUUUAAAAGUGCUCAUUGCACAUUUGAAAAUUGUUCAAUAAACAAAGUUUGCUCUACUCUUAGAAGUUGUUUGCACCAUUCAAGGGUGGUGUGCCGCCCAUGGCCAUCGAUAAUGGUUAGCGACGGCUGGCGCCAGCGGUGCUCAUGCAAGAAUGCGGGUGUGGAUUUCACACUUCGUCAUGACAUGGUGAUGGCACGACAGCGGCCAACGUCCUUCGGCGGAAUCCUGAUGAGUAUUUUUUUCAACGACCUCCUCGGGCAGGGCCGCGCCACUCCUUGCCGGCAUCAUAGUGCUCUGUCGAGUCCGCUCGGUUGGAAAGAAACGAGAAGAUUCAGUCCAACAACGGCUUGAAUCAAGAAGAGAGGCAAGUAAGGUGAAAGAAAGCAUAAGUUUUACAUUAAUCAGUAUUUUUAAUGAUGCUAUAAAUACAAUUAUUCAAACAGGAAUAUUUUCAAAUGACGAGAGAGUUCUAAGUCUUCAUUUUACUGUGUGAUCUCGGCCAUAGUUUCAUCUUGGACUUCCCCACCCUUAGAUUCGAGUGUGAUCUUGGCCACUAAUCUACGUCGAUUGGUUGGUGUGUUGCUUUUCUCUCUUACUCUGUUGAUCCAUCAUGUCGUCUAUGAAAUCUCUUCAUGUCUUCACAUUCCACUUCUAAUUGCUGUAGUUGACCAGGCUAAAAUGAUGUCUCAGGUCUUGUGGAAGGUCCACACCGCACGUUGAAUACAAGUACAAAAAUUCGGAGAAUGAAAGUAAACAUUUCUUGGUGCUUCUGUUGGGCGAUUUCCAACACGAGAUGGUAACUAAUAUCUAUUGUUAGAUUUGGUACAACUCCAUCAUGUUUUGCUUCAUAUGCGUUUAGGAAUUAGCUAUUUUCCUAAGCAUAAAUGAAAAGUAUGUUUACAUGCAUGGAUCUUUAUUAUACAUUGACAAGUGCAAGUGAUGAAGGUGUGGACAAAGUGGAUGCAACCAGAUCUAGACUUGGUAUUCACUAGUGAAAACGGAAGUGACUGCUAAACCAAAUUAUACACUGAACUAAAGCCAAAUACUCUAGUGAAAACAGAGUGCCGACUAAACUAAAGCCACAUACAAUGCUAGCUUAACAGAAACUGGACUCAGAAGGCGAGACCCUCGGAGGGUCCUCGCGAUGGCAGCGAGCUAUGUUCGCAUCAUGAGCAUGUUAUUUCGCUUGUAAUUGACUAGCUUGACCGCUACCUGAAGGUGGAGAGAGAAAAUCAAAAUGACACACCCGAGAAGAGAGAGACAACAAUGGCCAGUCCGGGUUGCGACAGUGCUCACCUCCAAUGGGGUAGAAGGUGGUGGAGAAGGCGCUUGCUUGAGGCAGAGCAACGGCUCAGUUGAGUGAGUGAGGCGAUGCCUGGGCGGAGGGUCCAGUCGUGUCGGGGCCGUGCUCAUCUGAGACUCAUCUGAGACUAGGCUAGGAAGGGAGUUAGAGCUGGAGGCCAUCGCACGAAGUUCCAGUGUAUGGCGGCAGGUGAGCAAGCUGAAUCCGGUAUCCAGGAGGUAGGGCAAGAGCUGGGACAGUAAAGUGGAUGAGCAUGUCGAGACGGUAGACGAGCUCACCUAAAGGGAGCAAGUAGACGUGAUGUCACACAUGUGCUUUUUCCCAUUUUAUUUUGUUUAUAUUAAAAAAGUAAAUACUUGUAUUAUAAGAAUAUAAAUUGGUUAAUUUUUGAAAAGUGUUGAUUGCACCUUUAAAAUUGGGUCAAUAAACAAAGUUUUCUCCACUCUUAGAAAAUGUUUGUACCGUUCAAAAAAACAGCGAGUAACAUUUACUGUUUUCAUGCAUUUCAAGAAAAUGUACGUGACAUUUUUCGAAAAUGUUUGACAUUAUAAUUUUUUUGUGUAAUCAAAACAAAAUGUUUCGUACUAUACAAAAUGUUGAAAACUUGUAUUUUGGGAAAAUGUUCAAAACACGUAUUUGGACAAUUACUAUUCAAGUAUUGAAAAUAUUAAAUAUAUAUUCAAAAUAUAUUUUAGAUGUAUAAAAAAUACACAAUGUUUAUGAAAAAUACUAGACACCAAAAUAUAUAUUUUCAAAAUGUUAAACAUGUUUAAAAAUGUUUGUAAUGUGCUUCAAAAGUGUACAAUGUGCAUAGAAAAAAUAAUAGAAAAUAAAAUAAGAAACCUCAGAAAAACAGAAGAAAAGACAAAGAAACUGAAUAAAAAAUGGUAAGGAAAGAGGAAAAAACGAAAACCAAGGAAAGACAGAAGAAAACCGAUGCAAAAUAGUGAAAAAGGUAUAAACAUAAAAGAACUACCACAUAGCUAUAAUAUUGGAUCGGCCCAGUAGUGCCUCGCGCUAGGCGAGAAUUAUUAGCAAGGCAACACAUUGAUACCCCAAGGGAGCACAUUGAUUUUGAAAGGAGCCACAUCUAUCUUCUAUUAUAUAUCAAAGUAUUUGUCAGGUUUCCCAAAAAAGAUACAUAGACUAAAAAUUACCACAAUAAUUAGAAACAUAUGACCGUAAAAUUAAUAAACCAAAUUCUUAUAGCCAUUAGAUAUGAUUGUAAGUUAACAAACAAACAAUUAUAAAUCAAAUUUCCAGUUUAACAUUUUGGUUUGAGCCUGACCACGCAUAGUCUAGUGAUCAAUCAACAUAGAACCAUAUUAGAACAUGUAUACGCUAACCAACAUGUGGUUGGAUGGUUAGGAAAAUAGUGGUAUUACCCAGCCCAUCCCAUGAGGGUUCAAGUCCUAGACUUGGCGCUGGUGCUCUCACUUUCCUUGGAUGCGGUUGAGAACAACAUACAGUUAUAAAUGGGUUCGACAAAGAAAUGUUUUAGCAUCAUCACCUGCAGCUGCACCCCUUGAGCUGAUGCACCAGGUCGUCGACCUUGUUGAAGUCCAUGGGCUGGUUCCUGGGUAUCGGAAAGCAGAGCAGACGAAAUAAGUACCCAAGAUGACAUGACGAAAGCAGAUGGAAAGAAGGGGGUCUUGGGGGCGGACAGCAGGCCGGCGAUGUCGUUGAGGAUCCUGUUGGUGUUGGCGAUAAAGAGGUUGAUGACCUCAGGGACCAAGCCUGGGCCUGAGCUGCCAUCCUCAUCCAUCGACUGCAAGUACUGGAAAUACUCAUCCACCAUACCCUAGAUGGACCAUUUCAUGAGAAGCUAAAGGCAUAGUCAGCCAGCAACCACACAUGUUUAGUAGGGGGUUGACGGUGGAAUGACCGUGGCGAGCAUGCAUGUGACAAGGGUCUUCAACUGGGCCCUGAGCACGGCAGCCGCCGUGGCGAUUGAUUGGGGGAAAGGAGCAGGUGCUGGAGGGAUCCGAAGCUGUGGUGGCUCCGGUGAUGUUAAUGGGGGAAAGGAGGCUUGGGGACGGAGCCCCUUAUAUACCCGGACGGAUGAGGCUGUCCGCGCGAAGACGUGUGGCUGGGAGUGCCCCCCAUUAACAGUCUACUAGUGUUUUGGCCGGGAGCCAUUAAGGAGCUAGACGUUGUCGACGUCGGAGGCAGCUAGAUGGGUGCUCGGUCAAGGAUCGUCGGAUGGUUGCUCCGCUGGCCAUUGACAGUGGGCAUCUCUCUUAAAAGUAAAAAACCUCGAGAUGUAUGAAUACAAACAAGAAGUUUAGUGGUUGCUGGCUGAGAUUGUCUUAUGGAUUGAUCGAGGGCAUCCAGAAGGAUGAUGGAAACCAGCCGUUUAAUCUUAGUUGGUUUAAUAAUCCGUCGGUUACAUUUAAUAAUCGAUGCAACGCGCGCGUGUUUGAGGACAAGAGGACAAAGAAGAGACGGAACGUAAUUGUAUAUCCAACUCAUGUUUGCUUCGCUCUACAACAAGCGAGUUCAGUUCAGUAAUGGAUUGAAUUUGUUCCAGCUAAUAAUAGAAGAAAAAACUCCACAAUGCUCUUUCGCUAGAGCCAACGGCCUUCCAUUCAAUUGCUUCGCUUUGCUUCUCUCGCGUAUACGAAGGAGUAGUUCGUUGGAUUGUUUUCUGGCGCCUAAGUCAGACCUGUGGAGACGUCCUGGUUCAGCCGGGAACCAUUAACAGCUAAAGGUUGACGAUGCCGGAUGCAGCCAGAUGAGCCUCGGUUCAAGGCUCUGACCACUCGUUCGAUGGGCCCUCCACUGGCCAUUGACGGCCGGCAUCUCUAAAAACCUGGAGAUGUAUGUUCACGAAGAACAAGUUUAGUGACGGCUGGCUAAGAUUGUGUAUGGAAAAUCAUCAAUGAUUAAUUAAUUGUGAGUUUGUAGCGCAUGCACAUUAAGAAGAGGGAGUUGCCAUCACGUACUAGUUUAUACAUGAGUUCUUGCAGGAAUAUUUAUAAGUCCAAUGGUGGGAGCAAGUAGACCCGACGUUACACAUGUGUUAAAAAUACUAAUACUUUGAAUAUGGAAAUAUAAUUUGGUUAAUUUGUUAAAAGUGUUCAUCGCACAUUUGAAAAUUGUUCAAUAAACAAAGUUUGCUCAACUGUUAGAAAAUGUUUGCACCAUUCAAAAAACAGUAAGUGACAUUUUUUUCACGCAUUUCAAGAAAAUGUAUGUGACUUUUUCGGAAAAUGUUCGACAUUACAUUAUUUUUUGUGUAAUCCAAUUUUUUUCGUACCAUUUAAAACAGUGCACGUUCCACAUAAAAUAGUUCACAUGUUAAAAAAAUGUCCAGAACUUACGUCUACAGAAAGUUCACAUGUUUAAAAAAUGAUGUAUCUACAGAAAGUUCAUAUGUUUUAAAAAAUGAAGUAUCUAGAGAAAGUUCUUCCACGGGGACUUGUGUCCUAGUAGGAUUCAUGCCAAGAAAAUCGUGUGCCCCUUUAUUUGCCGCACAUUAGAUACUAUGUGUUUGCACACGAACACGUCACCGUGUACUCUUGACGCCGGGGGUGAUGCACCGCAGUUCACGUCGAAGGAGGCCCGUCCGAAAGCGCGGUACGCAGGCAAUCCGGCGGGUGGUUUUGAGGAUCCGAAACCCCACACGCCCGAGAGGGACCCCGUCAGGGCGUACGACGGCUAUGGGCUGUCCUAGGUCGACCUGAUCGCCCCUAGGGCCUUGAGGUUCGCCGCCCUGCAACAAGAAGAACAUACGAAGAACGAGGAAGAAGAAGAACCAGGGUUAAGGAGAAAAAUAAAAUGAUAAAAAGUGGUAGAUGAUUUGUUCGAUUGUGUGUGUUCAAUCGGCCGUCACCCCUUUGGUAUAUAAGAGGUGGUUGGACUUCCCGUGCAAGGAAAAAGGAUUGGAUUCACGUCCAAAACCCUAGUCAAAUUUGGAUUGGUUCUGUCGGAACAUUCGAAAACUGUUCGGUUUAAACUGGCUGCACCUUGUGGGUCUUUUUUGUAGUUGUAAAUGAUCUCGGAUGGAAACGUGUCCAAAAGCAAUCUUGACCGUUUCGACGAGAUGAACAACUUUCAUGUUGAACGUUUUCUGAUCAGAGGUCAGCCUGAGGGUCAAACCACUCGCGUAAAACAGACUAUUAUUCGCGCUACUCAUCAGACAUGGUGUCUGGUGGGGCACACCAUUUUUUGCCUCGUGACAGAGCUGCAUUCCGAUGGCUCAAACUUUUGUAUACGAGCUCGGGUUGGAACAAUUUUUAUUUCAAAAUUGAUUAUUUCAACGAGACAAAGACAAACCGUGUGUAUUAUUUUUCCAUACGAGGCCGCCUUGGGAGGUAAUCAGCCAAAUAGUGUUCUGAAUACAAAAUCUGACUACUUCAAACACAACUUUGACCUUAGAGAUGAGAUCGGAUGGCUAUGGCCCAAAAAUCAAAGUUUCUCCUUUUGACGAUACAGAACUUUAUGGCUUUGAGCACCUUUUCAUUUGAAGCCAUCUUAAUUGUGUUUUUGACUAUGCCAAAAUCUGGUGUCAACACAUGCCCCCUGUUUUUGGGCAAAACUUGCAUGCCGAAAAAUAUUUGUAAUGUAUUUGUUCUAAGGACGAUGUCAACACUCUGCUACCUCUUGAGCUUGCGUUGGUUUUCCCCGAAGAUAAUCAAUAAAUAAAUCAUGCUCCGACUUCAUCACAUAACGGUUCACCAUACGUGCAUGCUACGGGAAUCACAAACUUUAACACAAGUAUUCUUUAAAUUCACAACUACUCAACUAGCAUGACUUUAAUAUUAUCACCUCCAUAUCUCAAAACAAUUAUCAUGUUUCAAUCUUUUCUUAGUAUUCAACACACUCAAAAGAAAGUUUCACAGAUCUUGAAUACCAAGCAUAUUAUUAUUAAGCAAAUUACCAUGCUAUUAAGACUCUCAAAAUAAUUUAAGUGAAGCAUGAGAGAUCAAUAGUUUCUUUAAAACAAAUCCACCACCGUGCUCUAAAAGAUCUAAGUGAAGCACAUAGAGCAAAAUUAUAACGCUCAAAAGAUAUAAGUGAAGCACAUAGGGCAAAACUACUAAGCUCAAAAGAUGUAAGUGAAGCACAUAGAGCAAAACUACUUAGCUCAAAAGAUAUAAGUGAAGCACAUAGAGUAUUCUAUCAAAUUUUAAUUCAUGUAUGGCUCUCUCAAAAGGUGUGUACAACAAGGAUGAUUGUGGCAUACUAAAACACAAAGACAAAAAUAAUACAAGACGCUCCAAGCAAAACACAUAUCAUGUUGGUGAAUAAAAUAUAGCUCCAAGUAAAUUAUCGAUGGAAGUGGACGAAAGAGGGGAUGCCUUCCGGGGCAUCCCCAAACUUUGACUUUUUGGUGUCCUUGGAUUAUCUUGGGGGUUCCAUGGGCAUCCCCAAGCUUAGGCUCUUGCCACUCCUUGUUCCAUAAUCCAUCAAAAGAAUUCACCCAAAACUGGAAAACUUCAGAACACAAAACUUAAAGUAGAAAACUCGUGAGCUCUGUUAGCUAAAACAAAAGACCACUUCAAGGUACUCUAAUGAACUCAUUAUUUAUUUAUAUUGGUGUUAAACCUACUGUAUUCCAACUUCUCUAUGGAUUAUAAACUAUUUUACUAACCAUAGAUUCAUCAAAAUAAGCAAACAACACACGAAAAACAGAAUCUGUCAAAAACAGAACAGUCUGUAGUAAUCUGUAGCUAGCGCAAGAUCUGGAACCCCAAAAAUUCUAAAAUAAAUUUCUGGACGUGAGGAAUUUAUCUAUUAAUCAUCUGCAAAAAGAAUUAACUAAAUAGCGCUCUUCAAAUAAAUAUGACAGAAGUUCUCGUGAGCGCUAAAGUUUCUGUUUUUUACAGCAAGUUCAACAAGACUUUCCCCAAGUCCUGCCAACGGUUCUACUUGGCACAAACACUAAUUUAACACAAAAAACACAACCUAAACAGAGGAUAAAUAAUUUAUUUAUUACUAAGCAGGAGCAAAAAGCAAGGAAUAAAAAUAAAAUUGGGUUGCCUCGCAACAAGCGCUAUCGUUUAACGCCCCUAGCUAGGCAUAAAAGCGAGGAUAGAACUAGGUAUUGCCAUUCUUGGUUUUAGAGAGAAAGAGAGCAAACUUGUUAUCUAUGGAAUUAAUCUUUCUAUUUUGACAAAGUACAUGUCCAUUAAUGGUAGAAGAAAGAUUAAGAAUGUGAAAUUGGCAUCUAGGCUAGCUUUUAUCUCUUUAAUAGAUUCGUUUUGGUAAGAAAGCAAGAGAGAUGUGAUUUCACCUUUCUCAUUAAUGGGGUGCCCAAAUAUAGUUUUCAUCCUCUCAUAGGUAUCUAUGGGGUCCCCUUCAAGGAAACCCCCUUCGAAAAUAGAAUCUAAAACUUGUUUGAACGAAGCGGGUGGCCCAACAUAAAAGCUUUUAAGUAAACCUCAAUUUGAUAUUGGGGUACAUAGCUAGCCCGGAUCCUUAACAGCCUAUCCCAAACAUCUUUCAAAGAUUCAUCAAGUAAGUAACGAAAAAUUCCAGAAUCAUCUUCAUCAAAAUUACAAAGGUUCUCAUUGAUAACACCGGCAAGUUGUUCUAUAGCAUUCCGAUUUAUGAGUUUAGAUAAGAUAGCAAGAUUGUCUAAAGCACUAGAACUUGGGAGAGAACCCCCAACUCUUUUUGGUUCUGACAUGGCGAGGGAAAAGAGGCAAAUAGAGAGGGAGGAUAGAGAGAGAGAGGGCGAAUAAAACAGCAAGGGUGAAGUGGGGGAGAGGAAAACGAGAGGCAAAUGGCAAAUAAUGUAAUGCGAGAGAUAGAGAUUGUGAUGGGUACUUGGUAUGUUGACGUUUGCAUAGACUCCCCGGCAACGGCGCCAGAAAUCCUUCUUGCUACCUCUUGAGCUUGCGUUGGUUUUCCCCGAAGAGGAAGGGAUGAUGCAGCAAAGUAGCGUAACUAUUUCCCUCAGUUUUUGAGAACCAAGGUAUCAAUCCAGUAGGAGGCCACGCUCAAGUCCCUCGUACCUGCACAAAACAUUAGCUACUCGCAACCAAUGCGAUUAGGGGUUGUCAAUCCCUUCACGGUCGCUUGCUGCAGCUCCACCUCAUACCUUUACCUUACCCAUAAGCUUAAAUAGUCUUGAUCGCGAGGGUGCGAGAUUGCUGAGUCCCCGUGGUUCACAGAUACUUCCAAACCAGCUUGCAGGUGCCGAUGAGUCCGUGCAGAUGACGCAACCAAGCUCAGGAGGAGCUCGAUGAAGAUCUUGUCCUUUGUGUUGUUUCGUUCUAGUUGAUCAGUAGUGGAGCCCAGUUGGGGUCGAUCGGGGACCUUGUCGCUUUUGGGGUUUUUCUUUUAUUUUGGUUCCGUAGUCGGACAUUGAUUGUAUCUGGUUGAUGUAAUGCUUUAUUCUUGUAAUUGUGUGAAGUGGCGAUUGUAAUCCAACUAUGUAUCUUUUUCCCUUAUGUAUUACAUGGGUUGUGUGAAGAUUACCUCACUUGCGACAUUGCUUUCAAUGCGGUUAUGCCUCUAAGUCGUACUUCGACACGUGGGAGAUAUAGCCGCAUCGAGGGCGUUACAAGUUGGUAAUCAGAGCCUUCCCCGACCUUAGGAGCCCCCAUUGCUUGAUCGAAUUAGCGGACGUUGUUGAGUCUAGAAAUAUGUUUUGAGUCUUUUAGGAAUUAUAUAUCGGAGAGUUUAGAAAUUCUUUUUACUCCCUAGUCCCUUCAUCGCUCUGGUAAGGCAUCCUGACGUAGAGUUUUGACUCUUCUUUUCUCAAAUUUCACUAAAAUAUAUUUUUAGGAUCACGCGGGUAUCUUGGAAUCGUUCCGAUGGUUUUGUGACGAGAACAUUGUUCUUGGUGCCUCCUGACCUUUAGGGGUUGUGGCAGUCUCCCGGGGAGUUGAGCUCCGAGGUGUUGUCGUCACAAUUUUAUCGUUGCAGUUCUGGAAUACCUGAGUUUAGUUCGUCGACAUCGAAAAUCUCUUUUAUGCAGUUGUUGGUGAGAUAACCUCGACGCCACCCAGUACUAGGGCGGGAGUUCGUGAGCAUUGCCAUAACUCGUAUAACGGAUGCUUUUCGAAGGUUGGGGUAGAUGAUUUUCGAAGGUUUCUUGGUUAUGUGUUGAAGGAUGGACACAGCUGGAUGUACGAUUUGCUAGUUUUGGGUGAGAUAUUAUGCUUCCCAUGUAUUCCCAACACCUGAUUGCAAAACCGGAAAAUUUCGGGAGUUUAUAAGUGGGAAUUCAAGUAGCUCUUAGGAUAUCUUUUCCGGCAGAUGUAUGAUACGAAAUUGGGGUUCGACGUCUAGUGGUCCGCCUAUUCACGGUCGGUUUUACAGUGGUCUCGUUGUGUCUUAAAGAGUCCUUGGCUAUGCCGACUCGGGGACGCUUCGUAUGUCAUGUGCACUGCCUUGUACAUGAUGGUGCUGUACGAUCGAGCCCGUGUAGGCCCCACCACGAAAAUUUCGGACGAAAUCUCUAUCAUAUGUUUGUUCCGGCUUAUUCUGCAAGCCAAUCCUUUGUUUUGUUUUUGAGUUGUGGCAUUCGAGUUGCUUCAAUGUCAAAUGUCGAUUCCAUACCUUGCCGAAGCGGUGUUCCCAUACUCCGAUGUGAAUACAAAUCCUUCUUGAUCAUCGAGAUUGUGCUGUCAAUCCUUUUUCAACCGGCGUGUUUCUCUUUAAGUGGAUCCGAUCAUUUCAACAUCCUCAUGAUUCAAUCUCAGUUUUUUUUCGUCAAUGGUGUUUGCUUCAUCUGUUCCAUGUUGUCUUUGUUUUUCCCACCCACCCACCCUCUUUUCUUCAAAGACUCAGAUUUCUUAAUCAAGUAUCCUUUUAUUCAUAUGAAGUCUCUCCAUUAUUUUUCUCCGUCAAUGUUCUUAUCUGGUGUUUCUCAUGAAGAUUCUAACGGAGCUUCAAGUUCCUCAUUCCUCAUUCCUUUUCUUCUCCGGUGGUUUUAAGUCAAGUUUUGUUGAUCAUACCUUUUUCCUCGUUUCAAUGCUUUCUCAUUCCGGUGCACCUCAUUAUCAUUCCACUUGUCGCUAUUUAUUAUUAUGGAGUGUUGAAGAUAUCUCAAAGAUUCGUGUUUCCACUCUACAUUCGUUCAACCUCUUUCGAGGAUGUUCCCUCAUUCAAGUCAUUUAAUUUAACCGGUGCUUUCUCUCUUUUGAAUCAUUCUACGAUGUUUCUUUUGAGUGGGCCCUAACCCACAGGUCUUUUUCCAGGAUCUUACCCGACUCUUCUAUUUUUCCGGAGCCACCAUCAAAUUCUUUUCGAAGUUUGACGUAAGAAUGAAUUGUCAUCAGUCAAAUGUCUUUCUCCAAGAUCUUUCAUUUCUUUUCAUCGGUGGAUCAACCUUUCCAUUCUUAAUUCCGGAGUAUCCCAGCAAUUCAUGGUGGUGUUUCUCGUCGUAAUUCUCAGAUUUUGAAGACCGAAGAAGAAUUUUCUCCAUAUCUUGCUCCACUCUCUUCAAGAUUUGUGAUUCUAGCUUGUUGCCAUCCUCUCAUAAUUAUUUUUCGAUUGUGAGAAUUCUUUUCACCCACCCGGAGCAUUUCAUGAGUUGUUUUCCAUUUCUUUUCCCCGAAGCCCAUCAUUUAAGAAGACUUAUUCAUACUCAGCUUUCAGCUAUCAUUCUCCAAUUUUACCGGUGCUUCGUUCAAGUGAUCUUUAAUCGGCUCAUGAUCUCUUCGUUCUCAUGUAUCUAAACCCUCUCAAGCAUCUUUGUUCAUUUUAUAAUUCUUCCCGGUGUUUCUCUAUCUUUUCUUCGUUCAUUUCCAAUUAAUUCGAUGGUUCAUUUAAGAUCUUUUCCUUGGUUAUCGCAUCAAUUCAUUCGUUCUUCCAAACCCUUCCGGUGGUUCGUUCAAUACCUUUCCAAGUUGGCGCGAUAUCUAUCUUAAUCUUUCUACGAGGAUAAGUAGUAUGUCAAAUCCAUUGCUUGUCAUCAAUUUGAAUUGGUGAAGGAUAAGCAUAAUGCAAUUCUUAUUAUUGUUUCAUCCAGGUGAUUUAAUUCCUUAUUCCAGAGGUUCAUCAAAAUUCUUGAUUUCAGUUGUUUCAUCUUUUCUUUUCCAGAUUUCCAAGUUUUUCUGCAUUAUAUCGUCGCGAAGCUCCAUCUAAAUCAUUGCAAGGCUUCAACCUUAUUCUUUUCAUCCUUCAUUUCGUUUGAUCAUUCUUUUGUUACCGGAGUUCUUCAUGAAGGUUCUACAUGAUGGUUCAUCAAGGAUUUUAUCCCUUCUCGAAGUUUUCAUCGAGAUUCUUUUCUAAGGAGAUCAAGUAUUCUUCAUCUUGCAAUCUACAGUGCAAUUCUUUCUUCCGUAUCAAUAGAGGUGGUAUUAUGUCAUUCUUGAUAAUUUGAGUUCAUGUUCCAUGAUUCACAUGUUGUUAAGAAUGAGAUAUUUUAAAUCCAUCAAUCUUGCCAUUGGAGUUAUCUUGGGUUAUAUUUCAACUAAAACUUUCCCUAAGGAUUGUGGCUAUUUAUGGUGCUUAUGAAUGAUCCAAUUUCUUUAUUUUUCCUUUUCGGUGCGCUAUACUUUCUUGUCAAUUUGCUCAUAUCAAUCCAAUUCUUUUCCCGUGAGUGGCAGGUUGUCACCUCAUAAUUUGAGAUGUAUUCCAUAAAACCAUAUCAAGCUUAUUUUUUUUCAUUGUUGAUAAUACAACAACUCCAUUCCAGCAUUUGUUGUAAGCAUGCUCUCUCAAGAUCUUGUUCCUCUCCGUCCAUCCCAUUCCGUUCUUUCAUUUCUUCCGGAGGCUUUGUGAUGUUACUCUUUUCAAUCAUCAUCUCGAAUUGUGAAGAUCAUGAUCUUUUCAUGCUUAUCCUUUUAACCGGAGUAGUUUCAAUAUAUAUCUUGCCCUUCAACCUCAGGGUUUUCGCAAUGUUGUUUGUCCCUCUUUUCUAACGGAGUGUUUUCGACUUUGUUCACCUUCCUUGUAUUUUUUUUCUCGAAUUUGUUCAACCUGGCAAGGUUCUUUGGUUUCACUCGUUUGUCAAAGGAGCAACUUAGUCUUACCUCUUCUCUUUCUCUUCCGUUGUCCCUCCGGUGCCAUUCUAGAUCUCGGGACGAGAUCCUCUCAUAGUGGUGGAGUGUUGUAACGCCCCGAGACCGAUGUGCCAGGUGUCCUCGAGUUAUUUGCUGUUGUUGCCUUGUCAUUGCUUGUGUGUCAUGCUUUGCAUAUCAUAUCAUCAUGUGCAUUGUCAUAUUCAUGCAUGUUGUAUUGUUGCAUGCUCGAUGUGUGGUUCUUGCACCAUCACUCCUCCUUCCUUUCCUUUCUUCCAUUUCUGCAAGUGCCAUUUUCCCUUCUCUUUUGAUGUUCAUCUUUUCCCCAAUAUUCUAACACCAUGUACCUAGCCUCUCUGUCAAAUUUCAUCUCUAUUGGAAUUGUUUUGGUUAGGGUUUAAAAUGGUUCAAGUUUGAAUUUAAUUCAAACUUGAAUUAUUUUUACUUCCUUUAAAAAUCUCCAAACCAAUUUUGUUAAAUAGAGCACAUUUUCAGGAUCAUGAGAAUAUUUUUUAUAUUUCUCUAGCUCCUCUCCUUUUCCCCUGCUCUUUCCUUUUUGUAUUUCUGUCUAAAGAAAUGGAAAAGAAAAGAAAGAGGCAGAAGCAGUACCACCAGGCCAGCCCAGCCUGCCAACCACCUCCCACUCUGGUAAUUCCACCUCCACGUAGCAUAUUUUUUACCCUGGGCCCGCCUGUCAACCUCUCUCCCCUCACCUUUUUCUUCCUCCUCUCGAUUGCUCUCCUUCUCACAGUAAAAGAGGGAGGCAGCAGAGCACGCACAAGGCCACCGUGGCCACCACGGUGCCCACGCUUCCCCUAUAAAGCCAGCGCUUCGCCCCUAGGGUUUCCCUUCUUUCCCUCUCCUCCCUCCGCCGCCGCCGCAGGUGAGCCACCCAACAUAGCCGUCACCUCUUCCACCAGAGAGCUCCCGGAGCAGUUCCAUGGCUCCGCCGCGGCCAUAGCCCUCCUCCGCCAUUGUCUUCGCUCCUGGUCGGCUCGCCUACGUCGUCUUCUUCGUCUUCAAUCAAGGCCAGGAGCUGGAAGGACCCAAGGCCGACGCGAUCGACUCCCUCCAGGCCUCCACGACGUCAUCUUCCUCCGCUUCAUCUUCUUCAUGGUCCAGAGUAGCGCCAAGUUCAGCCAGCCCCGUCAUCCCUCCGUCCAUCUCUCACUGAGCCGAGCACCCGAGCGUGUUCGUGGUGAGCAUGCGCACCUUCCCAGGCAUUGUUUCCCCUCGAUUGCAUCCUGUUACGCGUGUUCCAUGUGAUUCCCGAGCUCGACUCCGUCGGACCUCGUCACCGGCGAGGAGUUCGGCCUCUUUCCGUCUCGAGCCUGACGUAGUAGGUUCCGCUUGUCGCGUAGGGCUCAUCCAGCUUAGAUUCGCGCCACUUCGACAUGUGUUUCUUCGAGUUCAAGUAUGGCCUCACCGCCUCUGUUUCCUCAACACCGGCGACGCCUCCAUCGUCACUUGGUGCUGUGCGAGACAUGCGCGAGUUCGGGUCCCCGUUGCGGUUCAUUUGCGCACCUCAGCCGUAGCUUUUGGUCGCCGGAGUUUCCUCCAACGAGCUCCUUCGCCGUCCCGCUCGCAUGCGCCGGAGGCUCCCUUGUUUUCUCUGCUCCUCGCUUGCGCACACGCCCACGCGCAUCUUCUCUGAACCAGCCGGCAACCAUGGCCGUAGCCAUGUCCAGCUAGUCCAGCCUCACGCGAGCCCCUGCAUGCAUCACAACCACACCAAGAUCCGCACCCCCGCCGCCGCUCUCUAGCCUCAACCGUCGCUGCUUUUCUCGCCAUCGUCGCCGGUGAUCUCCGUGCCAGGAGACCCGGGUUCGAACCCCAUCAGGGACAUUUAGCCCCCCCCAAUUUUUGCCUCAUUUAAGAUCUGUGAUUUUAGCAUUUUCCAGUGCAUACAUAUUUACAGGAAAUGCCACUUCUUUAAGAUGCUAAUAAACAAAUAUCCAUGGAUCUAAAUAAAACAUUUCAUAUAUGUAAAAUGCCUAGAAUUUUGUCUAGUUUCAUAAUAUGCAACUUUUAUCCAUGUUUAAAAUGUUGUUUGUGUUUAUUUUGCAUAAUGCCAUGUUAAAAUGAUUUAUUUCAUAACUAAAUAACCGUAGCUCCUAACUUAACAAAAUUUAUAUGUAAAUGGGGUAGAAAAAUGCCUAGUUUAACAUAGUGGCCUUACUUUGUAUGUUUAACAACUCUAAAAUUAUGUUUAGGGAAGAACGGUACAAAACCUAAUAUAUGCACAUGAGGAGUUUUCGGACUUGUUGUUUGUUGUUUUGGCCUCAUUUAAACUUGACUAGAUAGUUAGUUUUCAUAUGCUUCAUCUCUUGCCAUGUUUAACAUCAUUUAAUAUUGUUGAGUACAUAAACGGGAGAGAACUAAAUAAGUCAUAUGUUGUUCCGUCAAUAUGCAACUCGUUGCAUAUUGAGCUCCACUUAAUUUGUAGGAUUGUUUGUGCACUUUGCCAUGCCAUGCAUAUUUAAACCGGACAUGCAUCAUACUUGAUUGUGCAUCAUGCCAUGUUCAUAUGUUGGUUGUUUACUAUGUUGUUUGCUUCUUUUCGGGUUGCUCCUCGCGUUAGCUUCGGUUUCGUUCUGGAGUGGUGAGUUUUGGUUCGACUACGUCCGCUUUGUCUUCUUCAUGGACUCGUUCUUCUUCCUUGCGAGAUCUCAGGCAAGAUGACCAUACCCUCGAAAUCACUUCUAUCUUUGCUUGCUAGUUGCUCACUCUUUUGCUAUGCCUAUGUUGCGAUACCUACCACUUGCUUAUCAUGCCUUCCAUAUUGUUGAACCAAGCCUCUAACCCACCUUGUCCUAGCAAACCGUUGUUUGGCUAUGUUACCGCUUUGCUUAGCCCCUCUUAUAGCGUUGUUAGUUGCAGGUGAAGAUUGAAGUUUGUUCCUUGUUGGAACAUGGAGAUCGUUCCUUGUUGGAACAUGUUUACUUGUUGGGAUAUAACAAUAUCUCUUAUUUAAUUAAUGCAUCUAUAUACUUGGUAAAGGGUGGAAGGCUCGGCCUUAUGCCUGGUGUUUUGUUCCACUCUUGCCGCCCUAGUUUCCGUCAUAUCGGUGUUAUGUUCCCGGAUUUUGCGUUCCUUACGCGGUUGGGUUAUAAUGGGAACCCCUUGACAGUUCGCAUUGAGUAAAACUCUUCCAACAAUGCCCAACAUUGGUUUUACCAUUCGCCACCUAGCCUUUUCUUUCCCUUGGGUUCUGCAGACUCAAGGGUCAUCAUUAUUUUAACCCUCCCGGACAGUGCUCCUCUGAGUGUUGGUCCAACCUGUCAGCUGCCGGUGGCCACCAGGGGCAACUCUGGGCUGGCCUACCCGUACUUAAGACAAUCUGAGUGUGCCCUGAGAAAGAGAUAUGUGCAGCUCCUAUCGGGAUUUGUCGGCACAUUCGGACGGUGUUGCUGGUUUAGUUUUACCUUAUCGAAAUGUCUUGUAACCGGGAUUCCGAGUCUGAUCGGGUCUUCCCGCUAGAAGGAAUAUCUUUCGUUGACCGUGAGAGCUUGUCAUGGGCUAAGUUAGGACACCCCUGCAGGGAUUUGAACUUUCGAAAGCCGUGCCCGCGGUUAUGGGCAGAUGGGAAUUUGUUAACGUCCGGUUGUAGAAAACCUGAAGUUGACCUUAAUUAAAAUACAUUGACCGCGUGUGUUACCGUGAUGGUCUCUUCUCGGCAGGAUCCGGGAAGUGAACACGGUGUUGGAGUUAUGCUUGAUGUAGGUUGUUUUAGGAUCACUUCUUGAUCAUACUUUUAUCGACCGUGCUUUGCCUUCUCUUCUCGCUCUCAUUUGCGUAUGUUAGCCACCAUAUAUGCUAGUCGCUUGCUGCAGCUCCACCUCAUACCUUUACCUUACCCAUAAGCUUAAAUAGUCUUGAUCGCGAGGGUGCGAGAUUGCUGAGUCCCCGUUGUUCACAGAUACUUCCAAACCAGCUUGCAGGUGCCGAUGAGUCCAUGCAGAUGACGCAACCAAGCUCAGGAGGAGCUCGAUGAAGAUCUUGUCCUUUGUGUUGUUUCGUUCUAGUUGAUCAGUAGUGGAGCCCAGUUGGGGUCGAUCGGGGACCUUGUCGCUUUUGGGGUUUUUCUUUUAUUUUGGUUCCGUAGUCGAACAUUGAUUGUAUCUGGUUGAUGUAAUGCUUUAUUCAUGUAAUUGUGUGAAGUGGCGAUUGUAAGCCAACUAUGUAUCUUUUUCCCUUAUGUAUUACAUGGGUUGUGUGAAGAUUACCUCACUUGCGACAUUGCUUUCAAUGCGGUUAUGCCUCUAAGUCGUGCUUCGACACGUGGGAGAUAUAGCCGCAUCGAGGACGUUACAUACAGUGCAUGUUUGUCUGAAGCAACAGGAGCAAAGUAAAAAAGGUUACUUACAUUUUACUACUCAGUGGGAUCUUGUGUGAGUGAUGCAUGUACUUCAUUUCACAAAAAUGCCUUUCAGGAAAGAGAUGCAGGAGAGGCCACAUAGCGCUUUACAUAAAUAAUCCGAGGCCUUCAAAAAAUUACUGCAUGAUGGGGAGUCGGGCCUUUGCUGCUCGCUGUUUGCCUUGUCUCAUCGAAUUGACCGGCUUAACUUCCUGCUAGCCUACACAUAUGCCUGUACCUGUUGUCCGUGAACUCCUUUCAGACCUACUCUGCCUGCUACUCCCUAGACAUUUCUCUGAAACGAAAAAGAAGCCGCCCAGCUUGUCUGAGUAAAUGACCUGCUUAAUCAAACUGACACCGCCAAAAGCCUGCUGCUGGCUAGCCCAGAGCACGAAUCUUAUAUUGGGCGAACGGGCCAGAUAAGAGGGAGUCGGGACUCCCGGGUGCUGUCGCACCUUUUCGGAGGGUGAAAUCAUACUUCAUCAGCGGAGUUAUGCGGAGAAAAUCCUAGAGGUAGCCGGCAUGGAAGAGUGCAACAGUAGCAGCACUCCAAUGGAGUGUCGUUUGAAGCUCAGGAAGGAGGAUGAAGGCGAGCUGUUUGAUCCCAAGCUGUACCGCAGUGUGAUAGGCAGUCUUCGCUAUCUUGUCAACACAAGACCUGACAUCGCACAUGCCGUGGGAAUUGUAAGCAGAUUCAUGGAGACCCCGAGCACUCAUCAUUGGGCAGCCGUGAAACAGAUUCUCAGGUAUAUUCGAGGGACGCUGAGCUACCGUUGUCGUUAUCAGGCCAGGCAUGACGAGGUGAAGCUUGUUGGCUAUACAGAUAGUGACCAUGCCGGUGACAUUGAGGACCGGAAGAGCACCUCCGGCAAUGUAUUUUCUCUUGGCAACAAUCUUGUCACUUGGAGCUCGCAGAAGCAGAAGAUAGUGACUCUCUCUUCUUGUGAGGCUGAAUACGUUGCUGCGGCAGUGGCGGCGUGCCAAGGUGUGUGGCUCUCUCGUCUGAUCAGUGAGAUGCUCGGGAGGCCGCAGGCCAAGUUCAAGCUGUUCGUGGACAAUCAAGCUGCCAUUGCUCUUAGUAAAAAUCCAGUCCAUCAUGACCGUAGCAAGCAUAUUGACAUCAAGUAUCAUUACAUACGUGACUGUGUGGAGAAGGGUCAGGUGGAAGUGGAUCACAUCCGUACCAGGGAGCAGAUUGCAGAUGCACUGACGAAGGCGCUGGGCCAUGUUGUCUUUGUCGAGAUGCGUCAGAAGCUUGGAAUGUCCGAGGUUGGUACUAAGGAGCAGAUCUUAAGGGGGUGAAAUGUAGGACCUAAUUAAGCUCAGCUCCCUUGCAUACCUGUUUCAGCAUAGAAUAAGUGCGUGCAUGCGUGUCCGAUGGGACAGCUCCAUGCACAUGCACGUAACUAGGUAGCGAGACGUGAUGUUGCACGAUCUCCAGUUUCCGUUUUCUGUUUUGAUGUAAACUCCCGAUCGGUAUGGCACUAGUGACGCAGUCGUGGGAUGGCGCGACGGACGUGGAUCUAGAGCAGCUGAUCGGGAGGUAGUUAGCCUUGUAAUCGCUAAUGAAAAGAUAGAAGGAAUACCAGAAAACGCUGUCGAGUUCGACGGCACAAAAUAUACCAGUGUCUUCUUCCUCGCGUGUGUUCAUCUCUCUCUCGCUAGUUUUCUCCUCUCGAUCGAUUCGGCAACGACAACCAUAUCACUUGUGGAAAUGAUGCAGUCACUGCCAACAAUACAGUUCUGUCCUCAUAUCCCUAAAAAUAUGAAAAACAAACAAAUCAAAAUUUAUGUAUAAAAGCACACUCAAAUAAGCAAAUCUGAGGCAAUAUGCACCAUGGCUUGAUCGGAGUGCAAGCCAACAAGAGGAGAAGAGAAAGGCUAGAACCUGCAAGCUCAAGAAGCAGAGCAUGUUGUUGAGGCAAGGAAUGAGAGAAAUCUGAAUCGCCGGGUCGUGUCGCCUCGGAAGGUGAUGACCACAGGCAUACCCUCUUCCACCCCCGCGCCUUCGCCCUCUUCCACUGCCUCCCC